rnacentral:lncRNA from 1 species
UAUAGUCGGCCUUCUCCGCCACCCACAUGUUCACGGCAUCCGUGCCCGACAAGUCAGCGGUGCUCAUGGCAAGGUUUUCGCCGUAGGGCCCACCAGAGUGGACAAGAUUGCAGUCGCCAAUGUGUUGAUUGGCAUAGUCUUGCGCAUAGCCUUGUAGCUUCUCAUCCCAUGACAAUGGCCCGACAUUUACCGCCGCUCGAGCGUUGUUAUGGGCAGUGACGUAGUCUUGCGGUGUGUCUUGGGCAUGAGUGGAUUGGAGAAGGGCAGAGCCUAAAACACAAACGAGGGCUAGUAAAAUCUUGGACAGGCCCAUGUUGGGUUUUGAGAGUUUGAUAAUGUAUGAAGGAGUUUUUUGUUGCGAGAACGAUACAUAUAGUGUGGGGUAUUUAUAAUGGAAAAUGUGGAAAUUUAUGUGCGUUACUAUUCAAGAGCGUUCCUAAUACGUUACUGACGCUAUCAAUAAUGGAGUGUGCUUGUGCAAUAUGAUAUCAAAAUACUUGAGAGCUUGUGAAAUAUAUUAUCGAUGCAUCUAGAAAACAUAUGAGUUGCUUUGCCAUCAGAAAAUAAAAAAUAAAAAAACGUAUGAGUUGAUCAGUUAGCUAGGUCUAGCUAAGGCUAACCGUCAAUUUCGGGGAAUAAAUUGAUGGCAAACUUCGGAAGACAAGAAAAGAAAAGUAAAUUUUGGAAAAUAGGGGAAAUGAAUAUGAAGUAUAUACCAUACCAUGAUUGCUUUGGAAAAUCCUUUAUGGACUUUACCAUACCAUGUGUAGUGCGUGUAGUUGUACGGGUCUUGAAAAAAAAAGAGAUAUUUAGUCAUCAGUCCUCUUCUAUUGAGGGAUCCCUCAAAUAAUUUUAUUUGAGGGACGCCCCUUAGGGUACCCUACAAUUUUUUUCCCAAUGAUCCAAACCAUCUAUUUUUUAGGUCUUUAUUCAUAGAUCAUCCUUACAAAAAAUUAGACAAAUUGGAAACCAUUUCAACAUCCAAUUGUGUCUUACAAAAUCAAUGAAUACGAUGCUUCAAGAAAAUGCUAAAAUUUCAAUAGCUUAAUUGAGUGGUCAAAUAAUAUCGGAUUCAAGUGAUUUUUUGUUGAUAUGAUCUUUGAAUGAGUAUAUACAAAAUAGACGGUUUGGAUUAGUGAAAUACAAUCCGGAGUGGGGCCUACAAGGGGUGUCCCUCAAAUAAGCUUAUUUGAGGGAUUCCUCAAUAGAAGCUCUCUGAUUUAGUCAUAUAUCCAUUCUUAGCACUAAAAUUAUAAAUAAAUUCUACAUCAUUUAAUUUCUAUAAACAAACCCAACAAAAACCCAAAAAAUGACAGCUGACUCUAUUGAAUUUAAUUUUGAUUAUUAAAUUACUUUGAUGCCCUAUUGAGUGUUUUGGGCUUUUUUUUUAUGAGGUUUUGGGGUUGGGUUCGUUUUAAGAAAUCAAUGACAGUUUUGUAAUUCAAAAGAAGUUAAAAGCAUUUUUGUUAUGUUGUAAAUGGGCUUUGGGUGUGUUUCUAAACUCCAUUUCAUAUAUGAUUUUUUUUAAAUGUAAAUAAUUUGGGCUCCUAUAUUAGGUAUAAUAGUGAAUCUCCCAAAAAGAAAAGUGAAGUCAAUAUAACUGUUGAUGCCCAAAAAAUCUAGGGAGAUUCACUAUUAUACCUAAGGGCUUUCAUGACUCUACUCUCUAGGAUAAUGAGGUAUUGUUAUCUUCUCAAUACAAAGGCAAAUGAAUGAAAAUUGGAGAAAAGAGACUCGAGCAAAUUAUGUUGUGAUAUUGGAGCAUGAGAUUGAUAGGUACAUCACCGACCCUAUUGAAGAUGUGGUUGACUUAUUCGAUGUUUUAAAGUAGUGGAAAUUGAAUGAGGUUAAGUAUCCGGGUUUGGCACUUAUUGCAAAGGAUGUGCUUGACAUCCCAGUAUCAACGGUGGCUUCAGAAUCAUGUUUUAGCACAGGUGGUUGGAUAGUUAAUUCAUUUCGUGCUUCUUUGACUCCUAAAAUUUUGGAGGCCUUAAUUUGCUCUCAAAAUUGGUUAAGGUCAGGUGACAUAUCCUCUUUAUAAUAUGAGCCAACAAUUCAAGAGAUGAAGUUUUAUGAAUCCAUUGAAUUAGGUAUUUCUUUGUAAUUUUAUAUGCUUUAUUAAUGUAAUUUACAAUUUGUAGGUUUCACUAAUGUUUUAAUGGGUUUUUUUUUAAUUUUAUAUAGAUUUAUGAGUUCAUCCACACCUCCCAAGUCUGCCCCAGCUACUUUUCAAUGUUAGGAGGAAUUUAAUGAAGUUGCAACACUUAGGACUACAUGCUUUUGUGGAGUUUUUGCAUGCUUGUAUUUUGUUUAUAUUUUGCUGCAGUGGGAUUGUAAUUUAUUUUGAAUUUGGAUUGUAAUUUAUAUUUUGCUGAAGUUGAAUAUAAUUUAUUUGCUAAAGUUGGAUUGAUUUUGAUGUGAUAAAAGCUUGGUGGAAGUUUAAAUUUGGGCUUGGCCUAUUUGAUAAUGAACAAAUUGGUAGGUUUGUAAUAUAAUUAAAUUUUGGGCAGGUCUGUAAUAUAAUACAAUUUUGGGCAGAUCUGUAAUAUAAAUAAAAUUAUAUAUUACAAUUUUGGGCUCAUGCCAAAAAUCGAUAAUCGCAAGAACCAAACUGGAAUUGGGCAGGUCUGGGUUGGUUCGGUCUUGCCUAUAAAUCUUUGUCAAAAUCGAACAAAACCGAAUUGAUCUUCAUUUUCAGUUCAAGUUCUAAUUUUAUAAGAAAUCGGCCUGAACCGAACUAUGUCCACCCCUAAUAUCCAUUAAAUUUAGCAUCCACCAUGCCGGUGAAUAAGAUCAAUCAAUUGAUGAUCUAACAUCACUUCUUAAUUCAUUUUGUUCUUGAUAACAUAGAUUCAUAGAUAUAGUUGGUUUGUUUUUUUAGACGAAUAAAUAUAGUUGGUUUAGUAAGACUUCUACUCAACAUUGUUGCCAAUGGUGAAUAUUAUUGGAACAUCCAUGCACCUGGCACAUGGUAGAAUUUUCGCAUAGGAGUUGUAAGGCUUGUAAGGCUUCUGCCCAACAUAGUUGCCUGGUGGAUCAAAGUUGCACCCGAUGAAGGUACCUCCACUGUUGCACCUCACUUUUGCACACCCUACACGAGUUGUGUUACGCCAAAUAACCUGCGUAUAAUGCCCACACACCUUGCCAUCGGCACAAGUGUUAGAGUCGUAGUUAUAGAAGGCCUUCUCUGCCACCCACAUGUUCACGGCAUCCGUGCCCGACAAAUCAGCGGUGCUCAUUACUGACUCUAUCAAUAAUGGAGUGUGCUUGUGAAAUAUAAUACCAAAAAUACUUGAGAGCUUGUGAAAUAUAUUAUCGAUGCAUCUAGAAAACAUAUGAGUUGCUUUGCUAUCAGAAAAAAUAAAAUGAAAAAACGUGUAUGAGUUGACCAGUUAGCGUCUAAAGAAGGCUAACCGUCAAUUUCGGGGAACAAAUUGAUCGCAAACUAUGGAAGACCAGAAAAGAAAAGUAAACUUUGGAAAAUAGGGGAAAGGAAAUUCUUUAUGGACUUUACCAUACCAUGUGUAGUGCGUGUAGUCUGUACGUGUGAAUGAGCUAAUAUGGCUCAAGUCCCACCAUGUUUACAGGAGGGUCGUAAUUGCAAAGAAACAAAACUCCACCCACUAUUACGCUGUACCCUUCCACACCCAAGACAAACCCAAGUGUCCCAAACACACUAAGUUUUGGACUCGUAGUUAUAUAAUUGGGCUUCGGCUCGACCAAGGCUCUCUUGGGCGCUUCUGAAUGUACCAAAUUACAAUUUUCAGCCCAGGCAAAGUCCAUAAACUGAAAUGUCAUUGCCCCAAUUUCCGCGUGUCAUUUAAUAAUUUUCAUGCUUAAAUUGCCAAACAAUGGAAAUAUCAAUUUCUCCUCUUUAAUUUCCGGCUUUUAACCAAAUCCCAAGUUAUUUUCCUCCAUCCAAACGGAGGGUUAAGGAAAAACAAUUCUUGCUACAAGAAUCAUUCUCUCUCUCUCUCUCUCUCUCUCUCUCUCUCUCUCUCCCCCAUUUGUGUACCGUGUCCUAUGAAAGUCAUGAUUUUCGGGGUUUUUAUCACAAAAAGGUACUGGAAAAAUCCGAAAAUUGCUCCUUAAGAAAUAAAAUUUAUUCUUAAAAAAAAAAACCUGAAAUAAAAAAUAAGACCGCAAAUUAACUAAUAGAUGUGGAGGAAAAUGGUUGGUCGGGUUCAGAGUCAGAAAAUUACGAGUAAGGAUCUUGUCCUCACCUCUUAAAAUUACGAGUUAAUAUGGUCAAGUCUCUUUGAGUUUUAGGGAGAGAAGUAUCACUAGCCCAAAAUCAAGAGUUAAUUAGUAUUAAUUAAAGAGAGGUUGAUGACAAUUAAAAAUAAAGAGAAUGAAAUAAAAACUUACAAAAAAUGAAAUAAUUUUUACUUCUUUUUUAUAUAUGUCAUCUCCUCUUAUAAUCAACAGUCACGUAAAAGAAUGUUGGGAGGGUGAGGAGGUAAAUUCGUACACACCCGUUACAUGUAAUCGCCUCUAUCCCCUCUUAUUCUUCUAAUUUCUCAACAACAAAAAUACAAGACCCCCAAACAGGCCUAGUCGAGGUGUGCACGUAUGUUUGUGUGACAUGUAAAUUUAGUGUCUAGUAGGGAUGGUCCUCCUCAUUAUAAGCAGGAUCAUAGUUGCAGAUGACAUAGUUUAGUCCAUUCUUGCACUUUGAAAUGCCACAACCAACUUCGGUGGUUUUGCCCCAAAUCACACCAAGGUAAUGUCCACAUUCGUCUCGGACGCAUUUGUUUAGGUCGUAGUCAUAAAACUCCUUCUCAGUGACCCAAUACUUGGCGGCAGCUGCUCCAGACAUGCCUUCUCCUGAGGCCAAGUUCUCACCAUAAGGCCCCAUUGAGUGCUCCAUGGCGCAGUCAUCAACUCUCUUGUCUGCAUAAUCUUGGGCAUACUUGGCUAGGGUCGCGUUCCAUUUGAGUGGACGGUUGCCGACCUGGGCGCGGGCCUUGUUGUGUUCCUCCACGAAGCCAUCGAUAUCUUCUUUGGAAAGGUCUGCAGAGACAAGAGUGAAGAACAAUGCGACGGAGCAGAUGGCCAGAAGAAGCUUGAUGUUGAACGCCAUUUUGUUUCUCGGUAUGAGAAAGGUCUCGGAUGUUAUUGUAUUAGAGAAUGUUGAAUUGAUAGAGGUUAAUUGAAAGGGCAAAUGAGAUUGUGCAUAUUUAUAUAGUUGAGAGGGUUAAAUAUAGGAUCCUUGAAAAUGGGAGGGUUUCUCAAGUUCUAUAAAUAACCAUGGAGAACAAAUAAGACCUGUGAGAGUGGAUUUUAGAUUCAUAGAAACAGUGUAUUGUCGGACAAUCAAUCUAUACCAUUGAUUAAGUAGGUUUUAUUUUAAUCCUAUAUUACAAUAUAUAAUCAUUACUUAGGUGAGGAUUUUUCGCUGCAAUGACAAACAUUUAGCCUUGCAAUGAGGAUCAAAGUUUUGACUCUCGUCUUCUCUAUCUCAUAAAUAAAGUAGUCGUUACUCCAGAAUGAUAUAAAUGAACUUGUAAUAUGGCCCCUCUGUCAACUUCUUGUGGCUUUUAAAAAUAAAAGGUAAAGCAUUAUGCUUCUUACCAAAAUACAAACAAAUGAAAGAGGAAGCAAAUUAAUUAGACAAAAAGGUCACCUUUCGUUCAUGUAGUUUGAUGAAAUUUUCACUUUUGUUCUUGUAAUUUUAAUUCUAGCAAUUUGACCCAUGUAGUUUGAUAAACACGCGUCUCUUAUGUGGAGGAGUAUUUUGUACCGAAUUUUGGACGAAAUUCACUGGAAAUUUAGAUGGGUCCUUGAAUUGCGAUAGAAUCAAACUACAAAAGUGAAAUGACAAAAUUAAACUACAUGGAUCAAAAUAAAAAAAAAUUCCGACAAAUUACAAGGACCAAAAAUAACUUUUUUUUCCCAAUUAAAUAUGGAUAUAGAGGAAAACGUUUGAAGGGUGUUGCCUCUCUUGGUCUUGCAACAACUUUGGGCUCUCAUAUGCCCGAGUUGCCCCAUAUCAGAUUGGUAUUGUUUGGCCCAUGAAAAACUCUUGCUAGUUUUCUCGGUUUUCAGGCCCAUUGUAGCAAAAAGGAAAUACGUAUGGUUGUUUAGCUUUAUGUUUCUUAGCAAACUAAUGGACAAUUAGUCUUUUAUUAAAAUUACCAGUAGUUUUGGUUGUUGAAUCUCGUGCAAGUUAGGUUGUGGUUGUAUUGGCUGCAAGCGGUGCAAGUUAGGUUGUGGUUGUAUUGGCUGCAAGCGGAACGUAGGCGCUUUAGGUGUGUGUUGACCAUGCACUCUCGCGUCAUGUAAUGUCGUAUGUAUGAUAUUGGUGGUGUGGUAAACCAAUUACUUUUUUGUCUAGUUAUAUUUUUCUUUCCAAUAUUAAAAACAAAAAAAUUCUCAAAUUCGAAUCUUCCCUCACUUAAAGAUUUUAAAAAAAAAAAAAACACAUAGACAUAACUGGAAAAACCAUAGAAAUAAUUAGUGAAAUAUAAUUACAACGAACACAUUCAAAUUUUCAAAAUCUAUAAAGACAUAAGAGAUCCAAGUUCCUACCUAUAAUCACUGCAACCACAAUCUUGACCAAGGGUUUUAAUCCAAAGAAUCUUUGAGAUCUUGAAUAAAGUUAGGUGACAUCUCAACCUUUACGACAAGUGUUCUAUUCUACUUUAUCUCUCCAAUCAUAUGAAGUUCUAAUCUUACUUGAAAUGGUAUAAGAUCAGUCCUUAUCUCUUGGAUUACAGGGGUCCAAGAGAUUUGUGAUCACUUACCGUUGGAUGUAAAUUCAACGAUUCACUCACUCUUGCACUCUUUUGAAGAAACUUUUUUGAACCAUUGCAUUAAUAUCCAAUGGUGGGUGACUACAAUCUCUUGGACUCCUGUGGUCCAAGAAAUCGGGACUCGGUAUAAGAUAUCAUAUAAGAUUUGUUAUAUUUAUAAUGGAAUGGGCUAAAUUUACUUUACGUGAAGGAUGUUGUAUUAGAAAUUUUGGGCUAAGAAAAACCACCACACCUGGGCUAUAGCUCAAGUUAGUCCUUACUAAGGACCAUCCUUGUUUAUUGUACAACCACAAUCAAAUUGGUAUACAAAUCUCAUAUAUACAUAAAGAAACGGUGCAUACAAACAUCAUGAACAAGAAAAUCUUAGGUGGCAUUUGGCAUCCUAUUCAAGUAUGGAAUUCAAAAACUUUUAUUUUUCUUGAAAACAAAGAGUCCUAAAACCCAUUUUUUAAGAUUCAAAAACUUGUUUGGUAUUCAAUGAGGGAACUCAAACUUUAAAAACAAGGAGUUCUGAAAUUCAUGUUUGAAGAUUAAAAAACUUGAUCAGACCAAAAAAAAAAAAAAGAUUAAAAAACUUGUUUGUUAUGCAACUUGAAAACAGUUUCUUUGAAAAAAUUCUAUAAAAUAGAUUUGUUAUAUUUUCAAGUAUUUGGGUGUUUUUGAGUUAUUUUUUAGUUUAGGUUUUCAAAACUAGGUCUCUACCAAACAAAUUUUUUGAGUUUUGGACUUAAAUAAUUUUUCAUUUUUUAUUUUUUGUAAAGUUUCACAAGUUGGAUUCAAAUAGAAUACCAAACAUGCACUUCACAUCCUUUUGAUAUUCCAUUUGUCAAUUAAAGACAAAGGCGAGAUGCAGAGGCAGACGAGAGAGAUUGGCCAAAAAAAAAAAAAAAAAAGAAAGAAAGAAUGAGAAUGACAUAAUAUUUCAGUUAGAAAUUACAGAAAUGAAAUAAUCUUAUUCUUUUUCAUUUUUUGAUUCACUCUUGUCACCUCUCACAAUACCAUAUCAAGUGCUAGUCACGUAAAAAAAUGUUGUGAGUGUGGGGAAGUAUUUGUAUACAUUCGUUACAUUUUAUUUUUCUAAUUUCAGUAAAAGAAAAAAAAAACACAGGACCUCUCAACAGGCCUAAUGUUGGUGUGGUUACGCGCACGUGAGCGUACAUACAUCAUCUAGUGGGGGCGCUCGUCUUCGGGCUGGUACAUGGGAUCGUAGCUGCAAACUACGUAGUUUUGUCCAUUCUUGCACUUUGAAAUGCCACAUCCGACCUUGGUAAUUUUGCCCCAGACCACAGCAAGGUAGUGACCACAUUCGUCUUUGACGCAUUUGUUGGACUUUUCGUCAUAGAACUCCUUCUUGGUGACCCAAUACUUGGUAGCAGCAGCACCGCUCAUGCCGUUGCCAGAGGCCAAGUUCUCACCCCCAACGCCCAAUCAAGGGAUCCAUGGCGCAAUCGUCAACUCUUUUCUCAGCAUAUUCUUGGGCAUACUGGGCUAAGGUCGUGUUCCACUUGAGGGGUUUGUUGCCGACCUCUUUACGAGCCUUGUUGUGCUCCUCGUCGAAGCCAUUGAUCUCUGCUUUGGAAAUGUUUGCAGAGACAACAGUGAAGACCAAUGCGACGCAACGGAUGGCCAAAAGAAGCUUCAUGUUGAACGCUAUUUUUGUUUCUUGAUAUGAGAAGUUUAAGGUUUGUCCUUUAUAUAUAUAUAUAUAUAUAAUUAUUGAAUUAAUAAUUGACACAAAUUAAUGUACUAAUCAUCCAAUUAUAAACUAGGCAUGAGUAAAGAAAAGUAAAUGAAAUGAAACAAAUUAUAUAUGUGAUUUAAGUGAUAUAAUCAUAAACCUAAACUCUUAUUUAUACAUAAUUAUAUAUGUAUCCGGGCCUAAUGGGCUGGGCUAUCGUAGGCUUAAUCGGGCUGGGCUAGGCUUCAGACACCCAAGCCCAAGGCGGGUCGGGCCAUCUCAAAGCCGAUAACGAGUCGGACCGGACUUUUUUUUCGAUGGGCCGGGUGGGACCCUAUCGGCCCAUGAGCCCACAUACCAAAUGAUGAGGCCUAUCUGUGGCUAACACCCUUUGGCCACGAAUUGGCUGUGGUCAAAAUGAUUAUAAGCCACAGGUAAUAUGUGGCUUAUAAGUCCGUUUUCUAGUAGUGACGGUUGUUUAGCCUUAUGUUUCUUACCAAAGUAACGGAUAAUUAGUCCCUUAUUAAAAUUUUGGAUAAACCACUUAGGUUUUUGUCUAGUUGUAUUUUUCUUUCCAAUAUAAGAAGUCUUAAAUUUGAUUCUUCCCUCACUUGAGGACGAAAAAAAAAAAACAUAGACAUAAUUGAUGACAUAUAUUUACAACCAACACAUUCAAAUUUUCAAAAUCUAUAAUGACAUAAAGCAAUCCAAGUUCCUACCUCUAAUCACUGCACCCACAAUCUUGACCAAGUGUUUUAAUCCAAAAAUUCUUUGAGAUCUUGAAUAAAAAGUUCGGUGACAUUUCAACCUUUACCACAAGUGUUCUAUUAUACUUUAGCUUCCAAUCAUAUGAAGUUCUAAUCUGACUUGAAAUGGUAUAAGAUAUCGUACAAGAUUUGUUAUAUUUACUAGCCUCUUGGCACAUGCUCACGCAUGUACCAAUUGGUUUUAUUUUUUAUUUUUUAUUUUAUUUUAUUUUUAAAAAAAACAUGGAUAGUUAUGUUCCACAAAAGUAGGACAUAUUAUAUGAUUUUGUUUUUAAUUUUAAUUUUUUUAAUAUAAAAAUGUGAAUUUACCAGAUUAUCCUCAUUUAAUUAAUAAUUUCAAUUCUUAAUGUUUCAAUUAACUAAGGGUAUUUUCUGGUAUUUUGAAUGUUUCAUCAUUCUCUGCCUUUUGCUUUAUAUAUAUAGAUAAUGAGAUGGACUAAAUUUACCUUACGUGAAUUAUGUGUAAACAAGUAUUAUGUGUAUGCUUCGGUGGGUUGUAUUAUAAAUGUUGGGCUAAGAAAAAAAACCACACAUGGGCUAUAGCCCAAGUUAAUCUUUACUAAGGACCGUCCCUAGUUAUGAUACAACCCACAAUCAAAUUGGUCUACAAAUAUCAGUUCAAAAAAUCUCAUAUAUACAUAAAGAAACGGUGCAUGCAAACACGUGCAUCCAUGAACAAGAAAAUCUUAGGUGGCAAUUGGUAUCUAUUCAAGUAUGAAAUUCAAAAACUUUGAUUUUUCGUAAAAACAAAGAGUUCUAAAAUCAAACUUUUAAGAUUCAAAAACUUGUUUGGUAUUCAAGGAGGGAACUCAAACUUUAAAAACAAGGAGUUCUAAAAUCCAUACUUUAAGAUUAAAAACAAUUUGUCGUAAAAAUUCUUAAAAAACCGAUUUGUUUGGGUUUUAAGUAUUUGUGUGGUUUUGAGUAACUAGGUCUACCAAACAUAUUUUUUGAAUUUUGGACUCAAUUUAUUUUUUUAAAGUUUAAAAAGUUGAAUUCAAAUAAAAUACCAAACAUACACUUAACAUCCUUUCGAUAUCACAUUUGUCGUAUUUUAAAAAAAAAAAAUAAAGACAAAUACGAGAUGGGGAGGCAUUAGACAAUUGAGAUUGAGAAAAAGUAAAAAAAAACAUAAAGAGAAUGAGAUAAUAUUUAGUUAGAAAUUACAAAAAAAGAAAAAAAGGAAAUAAUAUUAUUCUUUUCAUUUUUUAUCCAUUCUCUUGUCACCUCUCACAAUACCAUAUCAAGUAUGGGAGCUCGCAAAAGAAAAAAAAACACGGACCUCUCAACAGGCCUCAUGUAAGUGUGCGUACAUACAUCGUCUAGUAUGGGCGCUCGUCCUCGGGCUGGUACAUGGGAUCGUAGCUGCAAACGAUAUAGUUCUUUCCAUCCUUGCACUUUGAAAUCCCACAUCCGACCUCGGUGGUUUUGCCCCAGAUCACAGCAAGGUAGUGACCACAUUCCUCUUUGACACAUUUGUUGGACUUGGGGUCAUAGAACUCUUUCUCGGUGACCCAAUAUUUAGUGCCAGCUGCGCCGGUCAUGCCGUCGCCCGAGGUCAAGUUCUCACCCCAACGCCCUCUUGAGUGCUCCAUAGCGCAGUCGUCAACUCUUUUGUUGGCAUAUUCUUGGGCAUACUGGGCCAAAGUUGUGUUCCACUUAAGGGGUUUGUUGCCGACCUCUUUACGAGCCUUGUUGUGCUCCUCGAGGAAGCCAUCGAUCUCUGCUUGGGAAAUGUUUGCAGAGACAAGAGUGAAGACCAAUGCGACGCAGUAAAUGGCCAAAAGUAGCUUCGUGUUGAACGCCAUUUUUGUUUCUUGAUAUCAGAAGUUUAAGGUGUUUUCUUUCUAGCAGAGAAGGUUGGAUUGUUAGAUGUUGAUUGAAAUGGGAAAUGAGAUUGUGCAUAUUUAUGUAGUUGGGAGGGUUAAAUAUAGGAUCCUAAAAUGGGAGAGUUUGUUAAGUUCUAUAAACAAGCAUGGAGAACAAAUAAAACUUGUGUGGGAUUGCGUCACCGAGUGGAUUUGGUAUCCAUACAAACAUUGUAUUGUCAAACAAUCAAUCUAUACCAUUGAUUAAGUGAAGUUUUAUUUGAAUCCUAUAAUGAGGUGAGGAUUUUUAGCUGCAAUGACUAAAACAUUUAGCUGUACAUUGAGGAUCAAAGUUUUGACUUUGUUAACGAUAUAAAUGAACUUUGUUAUAUGACCCCUCUGUCAACUUCUUGUGGCUUUUAAAAAUAAAAGGUAAAGCAUUAUGCUUCUUACCAAAAUACAAAGAAAUGAAAGAGGAAGCAAAUUAAUUAGACAAAAAGGUCACCUUUCUUUCAUAUAGUUUGACGAAAUUUUCACUUUUGUUUUUGUAAUUUUAAUUCUAGCAAUUUGAUCCAUGUAGUUUGAUAAACACGCGUCUCUUAUGUGGAGGAGUAUUUUGUAUCGAAUUUUGGACGAAAUUCGCAGAAAAUUUAGAUGGGUCCUUGAAUUGCGAUAGAAUCAAACUACAAAGGUUAAAUUGACAAAAUUAAACUACAUGGACCAAAAAAAAAAAUCUGACAAAUUACACGGACUAAAAAUGACUUUUUUUCCCAAUUAAAUAUGGAUAUAGAGGAAAACGUUUGAAGGGUUUUGCCUCUCUUGAUCUUGCAACCACUUUGGGCUCUCAUCCGCCCGAGUUGCCCCAUAUCAGAUUGGCAUUGUUUGGCCCAUGAAAAACUCUUGCUAGUUUUCUUGGUUUUCAGGCCCAUUGUAGCAAAAAGGAAAUACGUAUGGUUGUUUAGCCUUAUGUUUCUUAGCAAACUAAUGUAUAAUUAGUCUUUUAUUAGAAUUUUGGAUAAACCAAUUACAUUUUUGUCUAGUUAUAUUUUUUUUUCCAAUAUUAAAAACAAAAAAUUCUCAAAUUCGAAUCUUCCCUCACUUAAAGAUUAAAAAAAAUAAACACAUAGACAUAACUGGAAAAACCAUAGACAUAAUUAGUGAAAUAUAAUUACAACGAACACAUUCAAUUUUUCAAAAUCUAUAAAGACAUAAGAGAUCCAAGUUCCUACCUAUAAUCACUGCAACCACAAUCUUGACCAAGGGUUUUAAUCCAAAAAAUCUUUGAGAUCUUGAAUAAAGUUAGGUGACAUCUCAACCUUUACGACAAGUGUUCUAUUCUACUUUAGCUUUCCAAUCAUAUAAAGUUCUAAUCUUACUUGAAAUGGUAUAAGAUAUCAUAUAAGAUUUGUUAUAUUUAUAAUGGAAUGGGCUAAAUUUACUUUACGUGAAGGAUGUUGUAUUAGAAAUUUUGGGCUAAGAAAAACCACCACACCUGUGCUAUAGCCCAAGUUAGUCCUUACUAAGGACCAUCCUUGUUUAUUGUACAACCACAAUCAAAUUGGUAUACAAAUCUCAUAUAUACAUAAAGAAACGGUGCAUGCAAACAUCAUGAACAAGAAAAUUUUAGGUGGCAUUUGGUAUCCUAUUCAAGUAUGGAAUUCAAAAACUUUUAUUUUUCUUGAAAACAAAGAGUCCUAAAACCCAUUUUUUAAGAUUCAAAAACUUGUUUGGUAUUCUAUGAGGGAACUCAAACUUUAAAAACAAGGAGUUCUAUAUUAGUAAGAUCAGUAGCAAACUCGAGGAGGAAGAGGCUGCAUGACACAUAAAUAGAGUAUAAUUAAUUUUUAUUUGUUUAUUGAAUCGAUAAUUUGAUAUUGAUUUGUUUAAUUAAUUGAUAAAUUACCGUCAAUUAGUCAUAGUUAUAGAUAUAAAACCCUUAUUUUGUUUUAAUUAUACAGUUAUACAAUGGUACUUUAAGAGAGAGUUUAAAUCCUCCUUCAAAUAAUUAUACAAUUAUGCAAUUGCUUUAGUUGAGAGAGCUUUGAAUAUUGUGAAAACACCAUUGCCCAACAAAAUAGGGAAUCAAUGGUUGAGUGAUAGUUUGGUUGUUUACAUCGAGAAAGAUGUUUUUUUUUUCCUUAUAUUAGUAACGCAAAUAUAAUGCGACAUUUUCAUGAUAUGAAACCUCGUCAGCAACAAUUGUAGGUUAAUUGUAAUAUUAUUUUUUGUAAUUAAUUAUGAAUAACAUUAGUAUUGUUUAAAUUAUAAGGAUAUUUAGUUGUCUUAGUCUUUAAAAAUUGCACCUCCAUUGAAAAAUUCUUGAGUCUGCCACUGCCCAUCCAAUUAUGCUUCGCCAUGUGGCAUCCUAUUACUCAAGAUGGAACGUAAUUGAUUGAGAAUAACAAAACAGUACUAUCCACGUGGUAUAUAAGUUUUUGUCAGGAAAUCUUUGGUCAAGGAUAGGCAAGUGGGGUUGUAGGAGGCAUGCAUGUGGAAUAUGUAUUGGAAUAUAGUGUGGAAAAUUUUCUUUCAAUAAUUAAUGGUCCUUUUUCCUUGCAUUCAUUUUUCGUCCUUCUGCCUUGAGGGAAAUGGUAGAAAUUGGUUGAAUUGUCAUUGUUGUCCUACAAUUCUUAUAGAGCAUAAUAGACAUUUCAAACUUUUCCUAAAUGGUCUCGGUCAAGAGAUUAUAGUCUUGUUUGUUAGGGAGGACUAGAUUAGACUAGACUAAACUAACAAAAUGUAUAUAUUUCAUGUGCAUUCAAAGCAUAAUAUGGAUAUUUUGCCUAACUUGGAGGAAUAAUGGAGAUUAUCUAUAAGAGGUUGAUUACUAAAACUUAUCCCCCUAAUCCCCUUGAAAAUGGUGGGAUUAUAAGGGAUAAGUUUUAGUCAUCAACCUAUUAUGAAUACUCCUCCUUCAUCCUCCAAGUUGGACAACAAUAUCCAAAUUAUGCAUUGAUUGCACAUAAAAUAUAGAUAUUUUGCUAGUUUAGUCCAAUCUAAUAUAGUGCUUCCUAACAAAUGAGGCUUGUCAUAGAAUAGUACAUAUCUUAACUCCCAAAUAUUUUGUGCAAUGUAAUUGCGUGGGUCGGUAGCAACUAGUUAGCUAGGACUGAGAGGUUUUCCUUGAAUGUUUCAAUUAUAUAUUAUUCUUCAUUAUUGAGUAACUUAAAAUUUCCUAUCAUCAAUUUUAAUUGUAUAUAAUUAUAAAAGGUGAUGUGACGUGAUAAGAGCGAUAGGCAAAAAACUGCAUGUGUCUGCCUAGUUUCUACGAAAUGUUUCUUGCCUCCGUUGUUCAUCAACAGAGAAAUUUCCACAGUAAUUUAUUGUCUUAACCCGGGAAUCCAAAAUUAGAGACGAGUCUACUUCCCUUGACGAGGAAACAUUAAGCGAAAAAUCAAAGUCUGAAGCAUUUCACAAAUAGCAGGACUAACUAGCAGCUAGCAUAUGCAUGCAUAGCUAGUUGCCAAAUUUUAUUCAAAUAUUAAAGUAGCUAGCGUAGUGAGCACCAUGCUAACUUCUAGCUAGUGAACCAUACAAUCAUUCCUUUCAUUUUAUUCUUGAACAGAAAAUAAAAGCUCAAUAGUGGUUUGUUAAAAAGCUUAAUUAAUUUAGUAAGGCCUCUGCCCACGAAUGUUUCCCCGGGGAUCAUAGUUGCACCCAAUAAACGUGCCUCCAUUGGUGCAUCGCGCUUUUGCACACCCUAAACGAACUGAGUUGCGCCAAACCACCUGCGUGUAAUGACCACACAUCUUCCCAGCAGCACAGGUGUUAGAGUUGUAGUCAUAGUCGGGCUUCUCCCCUACGAACAAGUUCACGGCAGCUGUGCCAGACAAGUCACCGGUGCUCUUCGCUAUGUUUUCACCAUAAGGCCCAUUAGAGUGCACUAGAUUGCAAUCACCAGCACGGGAGUUUGCAUAUCUUUGGGCAUAGGCUACUAGGUUGGGGUCCCAGGUCAAGGGAGCAACACCUACCUGGGCUCGAGCGGCGUUGUGGGCAUUGAGGUAGUCUUGUGGUGAGUCUUGGGCACCAGUGGAUUGGAGCAGGGCUAAGCCUAUGAGACAUACGAAGGCAAAGGAAAUCUUAGACAACCCCAUGGUAUUGGUUUGUAGGCUCACAAUGCAAACUAAUAUCUUGAGUGGUUGAUGAAGGAAAUGAGGCAUAUAGCAUGGAGUAUUUAUAAGGAAAGUGUUACGAGGGGACUGUAAUUUUCACUGAGGGCCAACAUUUUAUUUAUGACACAUAUUGAGAGGCCUUACUAGUCAAAGUGAAAGGAAAAUAAACCCCUCCGUGAAUAAGAACUUGAUCCAAGAUUUAGAAUUUAAACCUGACUUGAAAACCUAGAGGAAGAAAAUUUGCUUUGAUUUGGAAAGAGGACCAUCUAACAAAUUUUCUUCUUGUUUGGGUUUUUUAUAUAAAAAAUAUAUAUGUGGUCUCAACUUGUUAGCCUUUGGAUUAUUAUUUACUGUGGUGGCAAGUCUACGAUAAAAAUCAAGCAGAUUAAAGCAGAGAAAAACCAAGCAGAGGAUCCGAAUCUCUAUGUUAUCAUCAAUAAUAAAGAUAUUUGAAUUUGGGACAUCUUUUAAUAUUAAAAAAAAGAUAAAUAGAGAAAACUCUACGAGAGAAAAAAAGUUUCAGCUGUCACCCCUUUUACAGGUCGGUGAUGUAACGACCCGGUCCUAAAUAAAUUGGUAAUUAUUAAUUUAUUCAGAUAAAAUACCAUUUUUGACAGGACCCGACCCAAAUUCCCCUUUGGAAUCCGAGCCGAACCCUGUUCGUGAUCGACACUUGGUGAGUGCCGAGCAUAAAUGACCUGGUUGCCCUUUUGGUUACAAACUUAAUUUCAUUUUAGCCUUGACUUCUAAUGAAAAUUCGGCAGAGUCUUCCCUGUAAUUUGUUCAAUCCCCAAAAUUACAUCUGUCAAGACAAGCAUAUAUAUACAACCCAACUUCCAGCAUGCUUAUAUAUACAAUCAACAAUAAAGUUCGAGCCCAGGGGCAAUAUCAGAGAAUUUAUACAGAUUUAUUUACAAGAAGAACAUUUGGAGGGCCACGGACCCUACACUAAGCUGAAGAGAUGCAGGAAGCGGAAACUGCCCUGUGGUGACUUUCAGAUGCACGUCUACGGCCUGGGGGCGCAAAACCUUUAAAAGGUGAGUGGACCCAAAAACAAAGUUUUAAGAAAAAUAGCAUAAGAACAUACUAACCCCAUUGUAAAAACAGUUAUACAAAACUAAUUCAUUCUUUUAAUCAUAUACAUACUGAAAUCAAUGCACUCAUAUAUAUAUAUAUAUAUAUAUAUAUAAAUAUAUGUCAAGCAUACUCAUAUCAUCUUUAAACUCUUAAAAGCACUGAAAUCAGUUUUAAACUACCACAUAGGAGUACCCUUUUAAUUUUGUCAAUUCUUGAUAUCCGUCACUUCCUGAUAAUUCGUCAAUUCCCCUGGCAGGUCUCGGUGACAUAAAGUCAACUCAAGCCGCAAACUGGCAGGAUUCAGGGGACCGUAGUCAGCCUGAUCCGCAUUCUUGGCUCCCACGGUCCCGGCGUCCCCGAAACUCGUGAGGCAAAUGUCAAGCGCACUGACAAAAUUGAAGGCAAAUUGGAUGUCCGUGGACAUCGUCAUAUCCGAAGGCAACAUAUACCGAAGGCAACCUGGAUGCCCGUGGACAUCGUCUUAUCUGAAGGCAACUUGUUUCUAUAACUGGGUACCUAAGGUGGCUUAAGAAAAUCUAAAAUCUCUGAAACAUAUGAUAAAUAACUGAAUUUCUGUUAAAUCUAAAACUUUACUGGCAUUUAUAUGUUAUUUAGCUAAAAUUUCCUUUUCCUAUAUCCAUAACGGAUAUCUCACUCGGUAGCAUGUGAAUUCAAAACAUUUAAAAGCAUAUAUCAACUAAUAAAACACUAAUCUUUGCAUAAAACUUAUUUAAGAUCAAAUACUGUAGCUGAAUAGCAUAAAUUCAUUUAUGAAAACAAAGAGUCCACUCACAGCUGGUCCGAGUUCGCUGGACCUUUUGGAGGUCCCUCAUGUGGGUCAACUGGUGCCCGGGUGCCUGAUUCAAGUACCAUAAUAAUAUAUAUUAAUAAAACUGCUCGAUAUAAAUAUUUAAAUAAAACCCUGACCCCCAACUCCUAGAAGUGCGUGCAUCCAAUUAAAGUUACUCCUAUGCCCACAUUAACGUUCCCUUAAACCUAGGAUACAAGUCCCAUGAGUCUGGUCUCAAUCGGACGGUUAGUUUGGUCACAAACGCACGAACAAAGGCUCGAACCCAUUGAACCAGCACAAGAUGCAAAAUCCGUUCAGGGUUCAAACGUUAUCCAAAUUAAGAUCCGCGAAUUCCUACACGCUCUUGACAACACAAGGACCAUUCUAGGACUAAGUGUGGUCCCCACCAAAUGGAGGAGAGAAGGUGAUGGGUUAAAAAAAAAACAGGGAGGGGCUGUGGUCGCGAGGAAGAAGAGUGAGGGGAGAGAGAGAGAGUCAGUUUUUAAAAAAAAUCCUAAUUUCAAAAUUAUCAUUUUGCCCUUCUAUGUAUUUUGACUGUAUUUUCUUUGUUACAACUCCGAUUCAAGUCCACUCCGUGUCUACGGACUCGCUUCGUCGCGCUCUACGCACGAGGCAUGUGGAAUAGUCAAAUUCUUUCUCGGUCAAAAAGUCAACUUUUUCUUUACUAGAAUAUUCUAAGGGCAAACGUGUCAUUUCCUUUUAAUAGUUUAAUAGUUAAAUAUUAAUUAAGGUUUGGGUUAUUACAAUUUUGCCCCUAGAAUAUUUUAUUAGGUUUAAAGUUGACUUUUUGAUCGGGAAUGAAUUUGAAAAUUUCAACUGUACCGUUGCGUAGAGCAUGGCAAGAUGAGUCCGUAGACACGUAGUGAGCUUGAAUCGGAGCUGUGACGAAGAAGUGACAAGCAAAACAUCACCAAUGGUACAAUCGUAAAUAUUGAGAAAAAGGUUUGAUAAAAUUUGAUUUUUUCUCUCUCUCGGCGCAGUCUCUCUCCUCUCUCUCGCGACGGUAGUGCCAACCGGCAACAUUUUGGCUAGCCGUCCUCUCGUUCGGCCACCAAAGCUGACGGGGCCGGUACCAAAAUGACCUGGCCACCGUCCUCUUCCAACCCCAGUCCUUCACCGCCUCGGUCUGCCUCCGUUAGUUGGGUUAAGUGAUUAAGUGAGAUUAUGAGAUUAAUUUAUUGUUUGAAACUGGGGAACAGCGGAUGUUUUAUGGUUGUUUGAAGUUUAUGCAAUAUUAGAAUUUGGAAUAUAUGAUUAUUAAGAAGUGAGUGGACAUUUAUUUUAAUAUGCACUAUUUUCAAUGAUUGAAAGAAUAUGCAUGGAUUUGGUAUAUAUAUAUAUAUAUAUAUAUAUAUAUAUAUAUAUAUUUGGAAUAAGGAUUGGGAAAUUUAUAAGUUUCGAUAUGAGUAAUAUGAAAUUGAGAAUUGAAUUUUGAUGUGGGAAGUUAUAUGAUUAUAUUAUGUAUAAGUACAUACUUCCUAUACGUGGCGUUGAAAUUUCCGGCGUAUAGGAAGAAUGUAUGAUUAUGUAAGUCUCACAAGUGACGUUGGAUUUUUCAGUGUGUGAGACACUUCCUAUACGUGGCGUUGGAAUUUCUGGCGUAUGGGAAGAAUGUAUGAUUAUUUAAGUCUUACACGUGGCGUUGGAUUUCCCAAUUUGUGAGACACUUCUCAUACGUGGCGUUGGAUUUUCCGAUGUAUGGGAAGGAUAUGUGAUUUAAUGGUCUCACACGUGGCGUUGAAUUUUCCGGCGUGUGAAACACUUCCCAUACCUGGCGUUGAAUUUUCCGACGUAUGGGAAGGAUAUGUGAUUUGAUGGUCUCAUACGUAGCGUUAUAUUUUUCGGCGUGUGGGACACUUCCCAUACGUGGCGUUGGAUUUUUCGACGUAUGAGAAGGAUAUGUGAUUUGAUGGUCUCACACGUGGCGUUGGAUUUUAUGGCGUGUGAGACACUUCCCAUACGUGGCGUUGGAUUUUCCGACGUAUGGGAAUGAUAUGUGAUUUGAUGGUCUCACACGUAGCGUUGAAUUUUUCGGCGUGUGAAACACUUCCCAUAUGUGACGUUGGAUUUUCCUGCGUAUGGGAAGGAUAUGUGAUUUGAUGGUCUCACAAGUGGCGUUGGAUUUUCCGGCGUGUGAGACACUUCCCAUACGUUGCGUUGGAUUUUUCGGGGUGUGAGACACUUCCCAUACGUAGCGUUAGAUUCUCCGGCUUAUGGGAAGAAUAUGUGAUUAUUAGGUCUCACACAUGGCAUUGAAUUUUCCGGCGUAUUGGAAGAAUAUGUGAUUAUGUAGUCUCACACGUGGCGUUGAAAUUUCCUGCGUGUGAGACACUUCCCAUACGUGGCGUUGGAUUUUCCGGCGUAUAUGAAUAAUAUAUGACUAACAGGUCUCACACGUGGCGUUGGAAUAUUCCGGCGUAUGAGACAUUAUGAUUAUGUUAUUAGCUCAUCACACGUGGCGUUGGAAUAUUCAGCGUGUGAUAGAAUAAUAGGGAGAAGAAAAAGGGAUUAUUUUACUAUAUCGAGGAAAGAGUGAUGCUUAAAAGAAUUAUGUUUGGUGUGUUGUGAUUUAAAUUAAAAAGGGAAAGGAGUAAAUUCUAGAAUGUAUUAUUUUUGUGUUGCUGUAAUGGUUUGUACGUUAUCGGAAUCGGGAUUUUGUGGAAAGAACUACGUGUGGCUUGAUCCCUCAGUAAGAGUACGUAGGUAGCCUGGGGUCCCACUCAGGUGCAGCCGCAGACUAAAUUUUAUUUAUGUUGUUUUAUGGAGAUUGGUUCUGACCUGGUCGUUGGUCCUGAAAUUCGGUUGAAAACGAGAUGCGAUUAAAUAAUUGUUCAUACUCCCGUCUGGCUGAGGGAGGAUUGUGUAAAUGUGUUCUGGUCAAAACAGGCACAAAGCUUGUUUUGGAUUGAUGUACGAUUUGGGCUAAAACCUUAAACUAUUUGCGAUUGCGUUAAGAGGUUAAAACCUCGCAUAUUGGAUAGUUGGGAAAGUUAGAUGAUGUAAAUUUCAUUUGGCAUUCAUAAGUGUGUUUGAGUUUAUUAUUUGCCUUGUUUAAGGUAUGAUUUGGCUUAAGGACUUUGUUGGUAGUUUGGUUUCGGAUCAUUUGAGGGCCGGAUGCCGAUUUUGUGAAUUGCAUGAAAUUAUCUUGUGCAUGCUGCCGGUUGGUGAUAUUAAAUGUGUUUUAUGCAGGUUGAAAUUUUUGGGAAUUGUUCAAUUUACAGGGGAGACUCUGCCAAAAUUUUGGUAGAAAGUCUCGGUCUGUAAUAAGUGGGCCCGACGUCGAUGUGAUGUUGGAAUUUCCACAGGACUCAUCUCGGGUUUCAAGGAAUUCGGGGUGGGUCCUGUCAGGUGACCUCCAUCCCUCUCCUCCUCCCCUUCCUUCCCCUCUUUACGUACCCUCCCAGACAUGUCCCUCCCUUAUCCACCUCUACCCAUCCCCUCCAGGGCCUCCAUCUUAGUUGAGUGUGGUGGCCGCAGAAAAACUUAGUUGAUAAUGUGAUGUGGUAUUGACUUGUUAACUAAAAGUAUUUGAGCCAUAAUAACUAAUUUAUUGGUGUGUAAUAUAUAUAAAUUCUAUUAGAGUGCUACUAUUUCCAUCCACUUAUCCUAUUUUUCUAUCAAUCUUAUCUUCUCACUCAUCAUGUAAAUUUGAAAAAGCACAAUCCUAUUUUUCCACCCAACAUUAUUUCUAAAAUACCCUUUAUAAAUCACCUUAUGUGGUAUGCCAACUCAUCUAAUACAACUAAGUUUUUUUAAUUGUUUUAUUAUUAUAUCCUAAUUAAAGCAAUAAUUACCAAAAAGUCUUUCAAUCCCCCUUUUUCUUCUUCCUCCUCCCCCACACUCUUCCCACAAAAUUUCCAUUAUCGCCAGAUUUCUCACGGGCGCCGCUAAACCCAUCUCGCUCACUCAUUCUUCCAUGACAGUUCCCUUUCUUCACCAUGGCAGUUGUAUCGGAUUUCUCACUGCAACUGCAUCAUUGUUCAUGCCUCUCUCAUCUUCUAUAUUUUCUAGAUCUAUAUAUAAAGAUAAUUGGUUUAGAUAAUUACAUUGUUCUGGGUGUUUGGGAUACAAUAACUAAUAAUUAUAAAACCUAUCAUGAACCGAUUUGUUUUAAGACUUCAACUAAGAAAGUUAUUGAGAUAUUUGUUGUGGUGAUGAAAGAAAAGAUUUUUUCAGAUUUGCAGGAAGAGUUUAGUUGAAUUUUUUGGAUGGUCUAAAGAGGAUAUAAGGUUUCUAUAGGAGUAGCCUUUUGAAUUAUCUAGCCACUCCCCAUCUGAUUAUGCUUCGCCAUGUGAAAUCCUAUUACUCAGGACGAAACGUAAUUGAUUGAGAAUAAUAAAACAGUGCUAUCCACGUGGUAUUGACAAGCAAGUGGGGUUGUAGGAGGCAUGCAUGUGGAGUAUGUAUUGGAAUAUAGUGUGGAAAAUAAUUUUCUUUCAAUAAUUAAUUGUCCCUUUUCCUUGCAUUCAUUUUUCGUCCUUCUGCCCUGAGGGAAAGGGUAUAAAUUGGUUGAAUUGUCAUUGUAGUCCUACAAUUCUUAUAGAGCGUAAUAGACAUUUCAAACUUUUCCUAAAUGGUCUCGGUCAAGAGAUUAUAGGGUUGUUUGUUAGGGAGGACUAGAUUAGACUAGACUAAACUAACAAAAUGACUAUAUUUCAUGUGCAUUCAAAGCAUAAUAUGAAUAUUUUGCCUAACUUGGAGGAAUAAUAGGGACUAUCUAUAAGAGGUUGAUUACUAAAACUUAUCCCCCUAUCCACCUCUACCCAUCCCCUCCUCCAGGCCCUCCAUCUUAGCUGAGUGUGGUGGCCGCAGAAAAACUUGGUUGAUAAUUUGAUGUGGCAUUGACGUGUUAACUAAAAGUAUUUGAGCCAUAAUAACUAAUUUAUUGGUGCGUAAUAUUCAUCAGUUGUAUUAUGUUGUUUCUUUCUGUAAACAUCGAAAUUUCAACAUCUAGAAAGCUAGGAAAUAAUCAAGUCGCCAAGACAUCCCCCUUGACAUUUAUUGGAUUGCCAAACUUUUACUAGUAUUACUACAUUAAAAUUUGCAUAGCGCUUUCACUUUACUUCCAAGAAAGGGAAGAGAAAAGAAAAUAAGAAAUGAAAAACAAAAAACAAGUCAAAAUAUGCAUGAAUGCUCGAUCGCAUGAUUCUCCGAUCUAUGAAUUCUUUUCUAUUUUGCUUUUUAUGAUUUAGGUUUAAUCAGAAGACCAAAAAUAAAAAUACUAAUGGCCAGGAUCCCUUCAGGCACACACUGUGAUCAAUUAAGCCUAUUAGUAAGGCUUCACCCCAACAGAGUUGCCUGCAGGAUCAUAGUGGCAAACGACAUAGGAACCUCCAUAGGCGCACUGGACUUUGGCACACCCAACAAGCCCUGUGUCACGCCAAACGACCUGCGUAUAAUGGCCACACUGCUUCCCAGGGGCGCAGGUGUUGGUCUUGUAAUCAUAAUCGGCCUUCUCCGCCACCCAUUGGUCCACAGCCAAUUUCGCCGUCAAGUCUCCGUCAGGGCUCAUUGCAAGGUUUUCACCAGGGCCUGAAUUCGAGUGCACGAGGUCGCAGUCGCCGGCACGUUGGUUAGCAUAGUUUUUCGCAGAAUCUGCUAGGCCUUCAUCCCAGUCCAAGGUGUCGAGGCCAACCGCCGCUCGCGCCGCGUUGUGGGCUUUCACGUAGUCAUCUGGGGCGUUUUGGGCACGGGCUAACCCUAUUAGGCAAAUUAAAAGUAGGGCUAAUGAGAUCUUGUUCUUGCACAACCCUUCCAUAAUGUUAAUUAGUGGUUAAUUGUAAUAAUCUACAGAUUGUUCUGCUAAAGAGUUUCUUGUUGGAUAUGGAUUGGAAAAUACCUCAUUAUAUAUGUUGGAGAAAAUUAUAUAUGUUGUUAUUUUUGUGGAUGUGAAAAUUAAUUUUGUUUGCAUCAUGUGUAACCAAGGAAGAGCCCUAUAAGUUGCCGAAAUACCCGCACCUUGCAGAACCUAAAAUAGCUAGGCUCCUUUUAAUUGAGGAGGAGCUCCUACUCAAAACAAAUAGAAUUUUGACACUUGACAAAUUCCUUUAACCUUAUUUUUUUGUUUGAACUUGAACAAGUCUCAAACUUUUCCUUGGCCUAAACUUUUGUCAUUUCUAAUUUAAUCAGGGCUGAUGAGAUCUUGUUUUUUUUUAAAUUUAUAAUUAUUUAUAAUUUUUUUUUAGUAUAGGGGAUGAGGGUUGCUCACACACACAUACACAUAAAACUAAGAUGACAUGGGGGUUCGAACCUGAGACCUCUGGUUUGUAAGUGAAAGUCCUUUUCCACUAGGCUAGACUCCGUUAACGAUGAGAUCUUGUUCUUGGGGUGACGGAGACAUUUGUUGAUGGAAAAAUAUUGAGAUGUACGUCUAGUGGUUGGAUCAUUUAGUUAAAUUAGUUUUGUUUGCAUAUGUGUAACAAUGUAAGUGUAACCAAAGAAGAACCCUAUAAGUCGCCAAAACACCCGCCCCUUAAGAACUAAAAUCUUUUGUGCCAUUUGUAUCACCACCAUAAAUAUCAAGAAACUGAAAUUGUUAUUAAUCAGCACCAAAAAAAAAGAAAAAAAAAAAAGACUCCAACUAGUUAAACAAUUGUGUCAAUUUGGUCAAAUAUAGAGACAUUAUUACAGUUACAAAGAACCAUCAUAUUGGCUAUGGAGUAAAAUUGCGGAAAUACGCUCACCUUUCACGAAAAUAAAUGGGAGCCACAAAAUGAACCAUCAUGUCCUGGAAGAAGAUUAGCGACGUUUGUUAUUCCUUUUGUCGGCGUUUGUUAAAUUUUUCGUCUUGAUCUUUUUUGGUCAAUAAAGUCAAGAAACUCUGUGAGUUUUUUUGUGUUUUUUCUUCUCAUAAUUCAAGAAACUUUAUUGAGUUUGUUGGGUGUUCUUAGGGGGGUGUAUUCAAUUAGGAUUCUAGAGCGUUGAAAAAGAUUUUAAAAAUCCGGGUGUAUUCAAUUUGGAUUUAUACAAACUUUUAAAAAGUCUAUAACAGUUUGAGUGUAUUCAAUCUAGACUUGGUUGAACUUAUAAAAUGUCCAUCUAAAUGUGGGUGUAUUCAAUUAGGACUUGGAAAAAGUCUAAAUAAAUUUACCUGUAUUCAAAAGGAGAUAGAUUUGGAAGGAUUUAAUUAAGUGUUGGAGUUUGGAGAAUUUGUAGGUUUUAGGUAUAAAUAAUAAAGGCCAACAUAAGUCUAACCUCCACCCGAAAGAUUUCAUAUGACUUUUUUAUAUAUAUAUUUUUCUCCCUGUGUUAGAAAAUUUUCCAUCGUUUGGAAAACAAUGCACUAAGCCAUGCACUGACCUUGGGUGGUUACAAGCGUCCUGUGUUAAGCAAAGCUCCUCCAUUAGUGAUUUCUUCAAAUCAACCAGUUCGAGUUAUUGGGAGGAAAGCUCGGCUAGAGAUUUUUCGAUCUCCGAUAAGUUCCCCUUGGAUAUCUCUCGGCAUGAAGCCAACAUCAAGGCGGUGGAAGGUUGAGAUAUAUUUCCAUCACCAUAACAUUACUAGAUGAUAGGGCCCUUGCUUUUUGGAUAAAGGGUUGUUUUUUGUUUUGUUUUUUUUAAAUUGAAUUUUUGGACAAAGAGUUUGCUGUUCGUGAACAAAAUCAAAGGGAAAUUUCCAACUAGUGGAAAUAUCGAAGGGAAAUUCAAUUUGAAAUUCAUUGUUUAGGUAUGAAAGUUUCCAACUUGUGGAAAUUUCAAAGGGAAAUUCACUGUUUAGGUAUGAAAGUUUUCAACUCAUGGAAAUUUCAAAGGAAAAUUCAUUGUUGUGCACACAAGUAGAGGAAGAAUUUGGAAAUAAAAAAAAAACAAAAAACAAAAAGGGGAUGGUCGACUAGUGGCUAGGUCAAGAUAGUUUAAAGAAAAUAGUGUUGGGAAGAAAGAGUGAUAAAAGAAAAUAGUAUUGGGAAGUCUAUGCAAAUAUAUCUGAAUUUAUAACAAAAGUUUAUACAAAAGUAUGGAAGUCUAUAAUAAAAGCCUAUAUAAGUUCAUUAAAAAUCCGGGUAAAACAAUAGGAGUUAUACAAUUCCAGGAAAUCUGUCACUUAAAAAAAAUCUUUCACAAUCGUAUACAAUCCUAAUUGAAUACAACCCCCUUAGUCUCUUUAGAAGAGUCAUGCCAGUUCGUGGCUAAUUUUGUCCUUGAUAUCAUUGAAUUAUAUUUGGGAAAUUAUGGCGGUAGAAAUGGGUAUGGAAAAGUUAUUUUCGAGAGUGAUUCUCUCCAGAUCCUUUUCAGCUUUUUUACUGGCUCAAGUCACUAGGGAAGUUUUUACCUAUGUCUGUCAUAUUGCUAAUGGGAUGGCUCCCUUUAUUGUUUAUAUCCUUUGUACUCUUUUUUCACUGUAUCGUCUUUUUAUAAAUUAAAAAUAAAUAAAAUAAAAGGGAGCCACACAAAAUAGUUGGACAUUCCAACAAAAUGCGCAAUACGUUCUUUUGACUGAUGCAAUUUGUUUUGCAAGAGAUUGUUGCUCAACUGAUUAAGAAUAUUUACCCUUGAAUCCUAUGUCCAAGGCUCGAUUCCCCUUAGGGCCCAUUUGGUUCAUGGGAAAGGAGGUUUGGGAAUGAGAAUUCAAUUGUUUUCCCAUAUUUGGUAAGUCCACGCAUGGGAAAUAGUUGCCUGGCACAUGGGAAAGUAGGGGGGAAAGUGAAGCCCUCCUCUUAACUUAAGUUUUGUUUUCCUUCAUCAUGGGAAAGUUUGGAAAAAUAAGCCAACAUUCAAUGCACAAUUUUCAUGAGUAUUUUGUCCAUGAACAAUUUAGAAUUACAAUGUAUCAUUAAAUGCUUUCUUUUUUUAUUUGAUUUAAUAUGGGUAUAAUUGGAAAAUUAUACAAAAUUUGUUUUCCAUUCCUACUUAAAACAAACAUGGGAAAGGAAACAAACGGGACCUUAUCUUAAAAAAGAAAAAAAAAAGAAAAAAAAAAAGAGAGACAACUUUGGACGCAGCAUGCAUAUGUCUCCAGUUUCCAAAAUAAUAAAAAGUCAUUCUUCAUAUCCAUAAAGUUUAGCAUCCACCAUGCAGGUGAAUAAGAUACAAUAGAAUUGAUGAUCUAACAUCACUUCUUAAUUCAUUUUAUUCUUGAUAAUAUAGCUUCAUAGAUAUAGUUGGUUUAGUAAGGCUUCUCCCCAACAUAGUUGCCUGGCGGAUCAUAGUUGCACCCGAUGAAGGUACCUCCACUGUUGCACCUCACUUUUGCACACCCUACACGAGCUGUGUUACGCCAAACAACCUGCGUAUAAUGCCCACACAUCUUGCCAUCGGCACAAGUGUUAGAGUCGUAGUUAUAGUCGGCCUUCUCCGCCACCCACAUGUUCACGGCAUCCGUGCCCGACAAGUCAGCGGUGCUCAUGGCAAGGUUUUCGCCGUAGGGCCCACCAGAGUGGACAAGAUUGCAGUCGCCAAUGUGUUGAUUGGCAUAGUCUUGCGCAUAGCCCUGUAGCUUCUCAUCCCAUGACAAUGGCCCGACGUUUACCGCCGCUCGAGCGUUGUUAUGGGCAGUGACGUAGUCUUGUGGUGUGUCUUGGGCAUGAGUGGAUUGGAGAAGGGCAGAGCCUAAAACACAAACGAGGGCUAGUAAAAUCUUGGACAGCCCCAUGUUGGGUUUUGAGAGUUUGAUAAUGUAUGAAGGAGUUUUUUGUUGCGAGAACGAUGCAUAUGGUGUGGGGUAUUUAUAAUGGAAAAUGUGGAAAUUUAUAUGCGUUACCAUGCAAGAGCGUUCCUAAUACGUUACUGACUCUAUCAAUAAUGGAGUGUGCUUGUGCAAUAUAAUAUCAAAAUACUUGAGAGCUUGUAAAAUAUAUUAUCGAUGCAUCUAGAAAACAUAUGAGUUGCUUUGCCAUCAGAAAAUAAAAAAUAAAAAAACGUAUGAGUUGAUCAGUUAGCUAGGUCUAACUAAGGCUAACCGUCAAUUUCGGGGAAUAAAUUGAUGGCAAACUUUGGAAGACAAGAAAAGAAAAGUAAAUUUUGGAAAAUAGGGGAAAGGAAUAUGAAGUAUAUACCAUACCAUGAUUGCUUUGGAAAAUCCUUUAUGGACUUUACCAUACAAUGUGUAGUGCGUGUACUUGUACGGGUCUUGAAAAAGAAAGAGAUAUUUAGUCAUAUAUCCAUUCUUAGCACUAAAAUUAUAAAUAAAUUAUACAUCAUUUAAUUUCUAUAAACAAACCCAACAAAAACCCAAAAAAUGACAGCCGACUCUAUUGAAUUUAAUUUUAAUUAUUAAAUUACUUUGAUGCCCUAUUGAGUGUUUUGGGCUUUUUUAUGAGGUUUUGGGGUUGGGUUCAUUUUAAGAAAUCAAUUACAGUUUUGUAAUUCAAAAGAAGUUAAAAGCAUUUUUGUUAUGUUGUAAAUCGGCUUUGGGUGUGUUUCUAAACUCCAUUUCAUAUAUGAUUUUUUUUUAAUGUAAAUAAUUUGGGCUCUUAUAUUGGGUAUAAUAGUGAAUCUCCCAAAAGGAAAAGUGAAGUCAAUAUAACUGUUGAGGCCCAAAAAAUCUAAGGAGAUUCACUAUUAUACCUAAGGGCCUUCAUGACUCUACUCUCUAGGAUAAUGAGGUAUUGUCAUCUUCUCAAUACGAAGGCAAAUGAAUGAAAAUUGGAGAAAAGAGACUUGAGCAAAUUAUGUUGUGAUAUUGGAGCAUGAGAUUGAUAGGUACAUCACCGACCCUAUUGAAGAUGUGGUUGACUUAUUCGAUGUUUUAAAGUGGUGGAAAUUGUAUGAGGUUAAGUAUCCGGGUUUGGCACUUAUUGCAAAGGAUGUGCUUGCCAUCCCAGUAUCAACGGUGGCUUCAGAAUCAUGUUUUAGCACGGGUGGUUGGAUAGUUAAUUCAUUUCGUGCUUCUUUGACUCCUAAGAUUGUGGAAGCCUUAAUUUGCUCUCAAAAUUGGUUAAGGUAAGAUGACAUAUCCUCUUUAUAAUAUGAGCCAACAAUUCAAGAGAUGAAGUUGAAUUAGGUAUUUCUUUGUAAUUUUAUAUGCUUUAUUAGUGUAUUUUACAAUUUGUAGGUUUCACUAAUGUUUUAAUGGGUUUUUUUAAUUUUAUAUAGAUUUAUGAGUUCAUCCACACCUCCGAAGUCUGCCCCAGCUACUUUUUAAUGUUAGGAGGAAUUUAAUGAAGUUGCAACACUUAGGACUACAUGCUUUUGUGGAGUUUUUGCAUGCUUGUAUUUUGUUUAUAUUUUGCUGCAGUGGGAUUGUAAUUUAUUUUGAUGAAUUUGGAUUGUAAUUUAUUUUUUGCUAAAGUUGGAAUAUAAUUUAUAUUUGUUGAAGUUGGAUUGAUUUUGAUGUGUUAAAAGCUUGGUGGAAGUUUAAAUUUGAGCUUGGCCUAUUUGAUAAUGAACAAAUUGGUAGGUUUGUAGUAUAAUUAAAUUUUGGGCAGGUCUGUAAUAUAAUACAAUUUUGGGCAGAUCUGUAAUGAAAUAAAAUUAUAUAUUACAAUUUUGGGCUCAGGCCAAAAAUCAAAAAUCGCAAGAACCAAACUGGAAUUGGGCAGGUCUGGGUUGGUUCGGUCUUGCCUAUAAAUUUUUGUCAAAACCAGACAAAACCGAAUUGGUCUUCAUUUUCAAUUCAAGUUUUAAUUUUAUAAGAAAUCGGCCUGAGCCGGACCAUACUCACCCUUAAUAUCCAUUAAGUUUAGCAUCCACCAUGCCGGUGAAUAAGAUCAAUGAAUUGAUGAUCUAACAUCACUUCUUAAUUCAUUUUGUUCUUGAUAACAUAGCUUCAUAGAUAUAGUUGGUUUGUUUUUUUAGACGAAUAAAUAUAGUUGGUUUAGUAAGACUUCUACUCAACAUUAUUGCCAAUGGUGAAUAUUAUUGGCGCAUCCAUGCACCUGGCACAUGGUAGAAUUUUUGCAUAGGAGUUGUAAGGCUCGUAAGGCUUCUCCCCAACAUAGUUGCCUGGCGGAUCAUAGUUGCACCCGAUGAAGGUACCUCCACUGUUGCACCUCACUUUUGCACACCCUACACGAGCUGUGUUACGCCAAACAACCUGCGUAUAAUGCCCACACACCUUGUCAUCGGCACAAGUGUUAGAGUCGUAGUUAUAGUCGGCCUUCUCCGCCACCCACAUGUUCACGGCAUCCGUGCCCGACAAGUCAGCGGUGCUCAUGGCAAGGUUUUCGCCGUAGGGCCCACCAGAGUGGACAAGAUUGCAGUCGCCCAUGUGUUGAUUGGCAUAGUCUUGCGCAUAGGCUUGCAGCUUCUCAUCCCAUGACAAUGGCUCGACGUUAACCGCUGCUCGAGCGAUGUUGUGGGCAGUGAGGUAGUCUUGCGGUGCGUCUUGGGCAUGAGUGGAUUGGAGAAGGGCAGAGCCUAAAACACAAACGAGGGCUAGUAAAAUUGUGGACAGCCCCAUGUUGGGUUUUGAGAGUUUGAUAAUGUAUGAAGGAGUUUUUUGUUGCGAGAACGAUACAUAUAGUGUGGGGUAUUUAUAAUGGAAAAUGUGGAAAUUUAUGUGCGUUACUAUUCAAGAGCGUUCCUAAUACGUUACUGACUCUUAUCAAUAAUGGAGUGUGCUUGUGAAAUAUAAUAUCAAAAAUACUUGAGAGCUUGUGAAAUAUAUUAUCGAUGCAUCUAGAAAACAUAUGAGUUGCUUUGCUAUCAGAAAAAAUAAAAUGAAAAAACGUGUAUGAGUUGACCAGUUAGCGUCUAAAGAAGGCUAACCGUCAAUUUCGGGGAACAAAUUGAUCGCAAACUAUGGAAGACCAGAAAAGAAAAGUAAACUUUGGAAAAUAGGGGAAAGGAAAUUCUUUAUGGACUUUACCAUACCAUGUGUAGUGCGUGUAGUCUGUACGUGUGAAUGAGCUAAUAUGGCUCAAGUCCCACCAUGUUUACAGGAGGGUCGUAAUUGCAAAGAAACAAAACUCCACCCACUAUUACGCUGUACCCUUCCACACCCAAGACAAACCCAAGUGUCCCAAACACACUAAGUUUUGGACUCGUAGUUAUAUAAUUGGGCUUCGGCUCGACCAAGGCUCUCUUGGGCGCUUCUGAAUGUACCAAAUUACAAUUUUCAGCCCAGGCAAAGUCCAUAAACUGAAAUGUCAUUGCCCCAAUUUCCGCGUGUCAUUUAAUAAUUUUCAUGCUUAAAUUGCCAAACAAUGGAAAUAUCAAUUUCUCCUCUUUAAUUUCCGGCUUUUAACCAAAUUCCAAGUUAUUUUCCUCCAUCCAAACGGAGGGUUAAGGACUCUCUCUCUCUCUCUCUCUCUCUCUCUCUCUCUCUCUCUCUCUCUCUCUCUCUCUCUCUCUCUCUCCCAUUUGUGUACCGUGUCCUAUGAAAGUCAUGAUUUUCGGGGUUUUUAUCACAAAAAGGUACUGGAAAAAUCCGAAAAUUGCUCCUUAAGAAAUAAAAUUUAUUCUUAAAAAAAAAAACCUGAAAUAAAAAAUAAGACCGCAAAUUAACUAAUAGAUGUGGAGGAAAAUGGUUGGUCGGGUUCAGAGUCAGAAAAUUACGAGUAAGGAUCUUGUCCUCACCUCUUAAAAUUACGAGUUAAUAUGGUCAAGUCUCUUUGAGUUUUAGGGAGAGAAGUAUCACUAGCCCAAAAUCAAGAGUUAAUUAGUAUUAAUUAAAGAGAGGUUGAUGACAAUUAAAAAUAAAGAGAAUGAAAUAAAAACUUACAAAAAAUGAAAUAAUUUUUACUUCUUUUUUAUAUAUGUCAUCUCCUCUUAUAAUCAACAGUCACGUAAAAGAAUGUUGGGAGGGUGAGGAGGUAAAUUCGUACACACCCGUUACAUGUAAUCGCCUCUAUCCCCUCUUAUUCUUGUAAUUUCUCAACAACAAAAAUACAAGACCCCCAAACAGGCCUAGUCGAGGUGUGCACGUAUGUUUGUGUGACAUGUAAAUUUAGUGUCUAGUAGGGAUGGUCCUCCUCAUUAUAAGCAGGAUCAUAGUUGCAGAUGACAUAGUUUAGUCCAUUCUUGCACUUUGAAAUGCCACAACCAACUUCGGUGGUUUUGCCCCAAAUCACACCAAGGUAAUGUCCACAUUCGUCUCGGACGCAUUUGUUUAGGUCGUAGUCAUAAAACUCCUUCUCAGUGACCCAAUACUUGGCGGCAGCUGCUCCAGACAUGCCUUCUCCUGAGGCCAAGUUCUCACCAUAAGGCCCCAUUGAGUGCUCCAUGGCGCAGUCAUCAACUCUCUUGUCUGCAUAAUCUUGGGCAUACUUGGCUAGGGUCGCGUUCCAUUUGAGUGGACGGUUGCCGACCUGGGCGCGGGCCUUGUUGUGUUCCUCCACGAAGCCAUCGAUAUCUUCUUUGGAAAGGUCUGCAGAGACAAGAGUGAAGAACAAUGCAACCGAGCAGAUGGCCAGAAGAAGCUUGAUGUUGAACGCCAUUUUGUUUCUCGGUAUGAGAAAGGUCUCGGAUGUUAUUGUAUUAGAGAAUGUUGAAUUGAUAGAGGUUAAUUGAAAGGGGAAAUGAGAUUGUGCAUAUUUAUAUAGUUGAGAGGGUUAAAUAUAGGAUCCUUGAAAAUGGGAGGGUUUCUCAAGUUCUAUAAAUAACCAUGGAGAACAAAUAAGACUUGUGAGAGUGGAUUUUAGAUUCAUAGAAACAGUGUAUUGUCGGACAAUCAAUCUAUACCAUUGAUUAAGUAGGUUUUAUUUUAAUCCUAUAUUACAAUAUAUAAUCAUUACUUAGGUGAGGAUUUUUAGCUGCAAUGACAAACAUUUAGCCUUGCAAUGAGGAUCAAAGUUUUGACUCUCGUCUUCUCUAUCUCAUAAAUAAAGUAGUCGUUACUCCAGAAUGAUAUAAAUGAACUUGUAAUAUGGCCCCUCUGUCAACUUCUUGUGGCUUUUAAAAAUAAAAGGUAAAGCAUUAUGCUUCUUACCAAAAUACAAAGAAAUGAAAGAGGAAGCAAAUUAAUUAGACAAAAAGGUCACCUUUCGUUCAUGUAGUUUGAUGAAAUUUUCACUUUUGUUCUUGUAAUUUUAAUUCUAGCAAUUUGACCUAUGUAGUUUGAUAAACACGCGUCUCUUACGUGGAGGAGUAUUUUGUACCGAAUUUUGGACGAAAUUCGCUGGAAAUUUAGAUGGGUCCUUGAAUUGCGAUAGAAUCAAACUACAAAAGUUAAAUGACAAAAUUAAACUACAUGGAUCAAAAUAAAAAAAAAUUCCAACAAAUUACACGGACCAAAAAUGACUUUUUUUCCCAAAUAAAUAUGGAUAUAGAGGAAAACGUUUGAAAGGUUUUGCCUCUCUUGGUCUUGCAACAACUUUGGGCUCUCAUCUGCCCGAUUUGCCCCAUAUCAGAUUGGCAUUGUUUGGCCCAUGAAAAACUCUUGCUAGUUUUCUCGGUUUUCAAGCCCAUUGUAGCAAAAAGGAAAUACAUAUGGUUGUUUAGCCUUAUGUUUCUUAGCAAACUAAUGGAUAAUUAUUCUUUUAUUAAAAUUUUGGAUAAACCAAUUACAUUUUUGUCUAGUUAUAUUUUUCUUUCCAAUAUUAAAAACAAAAAAAAUUCUCAAAUUCGAAUCUUCCCUCACUUAAAGAUUUUUUUUUAAAAAAACACAUAGACAUAACUGGAAAAACCAUAGAAAUAAUUAGUGAAAUAUAAUUACAACGAACACAUUCAAAUUUUUAAAAUCUAUAAAGACAAAAGAGAUCCAAGUUCCUACCUAUAAUCACUGCAACCACAAUCUUGACCAAGGGUUUUAAUCCAAAGAAUCUUUGAGAUCUUGAAUAAAGUUAGGUGACAUCUCAACCUUUACGACAAGUGUUCUAUUCUACUUUAUCUCUCCAAUCAUAUGAAGUUCUAAUCUUACUUGAAAUGGUAUAAGAUCAGUCCUGAUCUCUUGGACUACAGGGGUUCAAGAGAUUUGUGGUCACUCACCGUUGGAUGUAAAUUCAACGGUUCACUCACUCUUGCACUUCUUUGAAGAAACUUUUUUGAACCAUUGGAUUAAUAUCUAACGGUGGGUGACCACAAUCUCUUGGUCUCCUGUGGUUCAAGAGAUCAGGACUCGGUAUAAGAUAUCAUAUAAGAUUUGUUAUAUUUAUAAUGGAAUGGGCUAAAUUUACUUUAAAUUUACUUUACGUGAAGGAUGUUGUAUUAGAAAUUUUGGGCUAAGAAAAACCACCACACCUGGGCUAUAGCUCAAGUUAGUCCUUACUAAGGACCAUCCUUGUUUAUUGUACAACCACAAUCAAAUUGGUAUACAAAUCUCAAUUCAACAAAUCUCAUAUAUACAUAAAGAAACGGUGCAUGCAAACAUCGUGAACAAGAAAAUCUUAGGUGGCAUUUGGUAUCCUAUUCAAGUAUGGAAUUCAAAAAUUUUUAUUUUUCUUGAAAACAAAGAGUCCUAAAACCCAUUUUUUAAGAUUCAAAAACUUGUUUGGUAUUCAAUGAGGGAACUCAAACUUUAAAAACAAGGAGUUCUAAAAUCCAUGUUUGAAGAUUAAAAAACUUGAUCAGACCAAAAAAAAAAAAAAAAGAUUAAAAAACUUGUUUGUUAUGCAACUUGAAAACAGUUUCUUUGAAAAAAAUUCUAUAAAAUAGAUUUGUUAUAUUUUCAAGUAUUUGGGUGUUUUUGAGUUAUUUUUUAGUUUAGGUUUUCAAAACUAGGUCUCUACCAAAUUUUUUUUUUGAGUUUUGGACUUAAAUAAUUUUUUAUUUUUUAUUUUUUGUAAAGUUUCACAAGUUGGAUUCAAAUAGAAUACCAAACAUGCACUUCACAUCCUUUUGAUAUUCCAUUUGUCAAUUAAAGACAAAGGCGUGAUGCAGAGGCAGACGAGAGAGAUUGACAAAAAAAAAAAAGAACGAGAAUGAGAUAAUAUUUCAGUUAGAAAUUACAAAAAUGAAAUAAUCUUAUUCUUUUUCAUUUUUUAUUCACUCUUGUCACCUCUCACAAUACCAUAUCAAGUGCUAGUCACGUAAAAAAAUGUUGUGAGUGUGGGGAAGUAUUUGUAUACAUUCGUUACAUUUUAUUUUUCUAAUGUCAGUAAAAGAAAAAAAAAAAACACUGGACCUCUCAACAGGCCUAAUGUUGGUGUGGUUACACGCACGUGAGCAUACAUACAUCAUCUAGUAGGGGCGCUCGUCCUCGGGCUGGUAUAUGGGAUUGUAGCUGCAAACUACGUAGUUUUGUCCAUUCUUGCACUUUGAAAUGCCAUAUCCGACCUCGGUGAUUUUGCCCCAGACCACAGCAAGGUAGUGACCACAUUCGUAUUUGACGCAUUUGUUGGACUUUUCGUCAUAGAACUCCUUCUCGGUGACCCAAUACUUGGUAGCAGCUGCACUGCUCAUGCCGUUGCCAGAGGCCAAGUUCUCACGCCAACGCCCAAUCGAGUGCUCCAUGGCGCAAUCGUCAACUCUUUUCUCGGUAUAUUCUUGGGCAUACUGGCCUAAGGUUGUGUUCCACUUGAGGGGUUUGUUGCUGACCUCUUUACGAGCCUUGUUGUGCUCCUCGUCGAAGCCAUUGAUCUUUGCUUUGGAAAUGUUUGCAGAUUGUUGUGCUCCUCGUCGAAGCCAUUGAUCUCUGCUUUGGAAAUGUUUGCAGAGACAACAGUGAAGACCAAUGCGACGCAACAGAUGGCCAAAAGAAGCUUCAUGUUGAACGCUAUUUUUGUUUCUUGAUAUGAGAAGUUUAAGGUUUGUCCUUUAUAUAUAUAUAAUUGUUGAAUUAAUAAUUGACACAAAUUAAUGUACUAAUCAUCCAAUUAUAAACUAGGCAUGAGUAAAGAAAAGUAAAUGAAAUGAAUAUAUGUGAUUUAAGUGAUAUAAUCAUAAACCUAAACUCUUAUUUACAAAAUUAUAUAUGUAUCCGGGCCUAAUGGGCCGGGCUAUCUUAGGCUUAAUCGGGCUGGGUUAGGCUUCAGACACCCAAGCCCAAGCUAAGCCCAGCCCAAGACGGUCGGGCCAUCUCAAAGCCAAUAAUGAGUCGGACCGGACUUUUUUUUAAUGGGCUUGGUGGGCCCCCAUUGGCCCAUGAGCCCACAUACCAAAUGAUGAGGCCUAUCUAUGGCUAACACCCUUUGACCACAAAUUGGCUGUGGUCAAAAUGAUUAAAAGCCACAGGUAAUAUGUGGCUUAUAAGUUCGUUUUCUAGUAGUGACGAUUGUUUAGCCUUAUGUUUCUUACCAAAGUAAUGGAUAAUUAGUCCCUUAUUAAAAUUUUGGAUAAACCAGUUAGGUGUUUGUCUAGUUGUAUUUUUCUUUCCAAUAUAAGAAGUCUUAAAUUUGAUUCUUCCCUCACUUGAAGACGAAAAAAAAAACAUAGACAUAAUUGAUGACAUAUAUUUACAACCAACACAUUCAAAUUUUCAAAAUCUAUAAUGACAUAAAGCAAUCCAAGUUCCUACCUCUAAUCACUGCACCCACAAUCUUGACCAAGUGUUUUAAUCCAAAAAUUCUUUUAGAUCUUGAAUAAAAAGUUAGGUGACAUUUCAACCUUUACCACAAGUGUUCUAUUAUACUUUAGCUUCCAAUCAUAUGAAGUUCUAAUCUGACUUGAAAUGGUAUAAGAUAUCGUACAAGAUUUGUUAUAUUUACUAGCCUCUUGGCACAUGCUCACGCAUGUACCAAUUGGUUUUAUUUUUUAUUUUUUAUUUUUUUAUUUUUAAAAUAAAAAAAACAACAUGGAUAGUUAUGUUCCACAAAAGUAGGACAUAUUAUAUGAUUUUGUUUUUAAUUUUAAUUUUUUUAAUAUAAAAAAUGUGAAUUUACCAUAUUAUCCUCAUUUAAUUAAUAAUUUUAAUUCUUAAUCUUUCAAUUAACUAAGGGUAUUUUAUGGUAUUUUGAAUGUUUCACCAUUCUCUGACUUUUGCUUGAUAUAUAUAGAUAAUGAGAUGGACUAAAUUUACCUUACGUGAAUUAUGUGUAGGCUUCGGUGGGUUGUAUUAUAAAUGAUGGGCUAAGAAAAAAAACCACACAUGGGCUAUAGCCCAAGUUAAUCUUUACUAAGGACCGUCCCUAAUUAUGAUACAACCCACAAUCAAAUUGGUCUACAAAUAUCUGUUCAAAAAAUCUCAUAUAUACAUAAAGAAACAGUGCAUGCAAACACGUGCAUCCAUGAACAAGAAAAUCUUAGGUGGCGAUUGGUAUCUAUUCAAGUAUGAAAUUCAAAAACUUUGAUUUUUCGUAAAAACAAAGAGUUCUAAAAUCAAACUUUUAAGAUUAAAAAAUUUGUUUGGUAUUCAAGGAGGGAACUCAAACUUUAAAAACAAGGAGUUCUAAAAUCCAUACUUUAAGAUUAAAAAUAAUUUGUCGUAAAAAUUCUUAAAAAACCGAUUUGUUUGGGUUUUAAGUAUUUGUGUGGUUUUGAGUAACUAAGUCUACCAAACAUAUUUUCUGAAUUUUGGACUCAAUUUAUUUUUUUAAAGUUUAAAAAGUUGAAUUCAAAUAAAAUACCAAACAUACACUUAACAUCCUUUCGAUAUCACAUUUGUCGUAUUUUUCAAACAAAAUUAAAGACAAAUACGAGAUGGGGAGGCAUUAGACAAUUGAGAUUGAGCAAAAAUAAAAAAAAACAUAAAGAGAAUGAGAUAAUAUUUAGUUUCAAAUUACAAAAAAAAUGAAAUAAUAUUAUUCUUUUCAUUUUUUAUCCAUUCUCUUGUCACCUCUAGUAUGGGCGCUCGUCCUCGGGCUGGUACAUGGGAUCGUAGCUGCAAACGAUGUAGUUCUUUCCAUCCUUGCACUUUGAAAUGCCACAUCCGACCUCGGUAGUUUUGCCCCAGAUCACAGCAAGGUAGUGACCACAUUCCUCUUUGACACAUUUGUUGGACUUGGGGUCAUAGAACUCUUUCUCGGUGACCCAAUAUUUAGUGCCAGCUGCGCCAGUCAUGCCGUCACCCGAGGUCAAGUUCUCACCCCAACGCCCUCUUGAGUGCUCCAUAGCGCAGUCGUCAACUCUUUUGUUGGCAUAUUCUUGGGCAUACUGGGCCAAGGUUGUGUUCCACUUAAGGGGUUUGUUGCCGACCUCUUUACGAGCCUUGUUGUGCUCCUCGAGGAAGCCAUCGAUCUCUGCUUGGGAAAUGUUUGCAGAGACAAGAGUGAAGACCAAUGCGACGCAGCAAAUGGCCAAAAGUAGCUUCGUGUUGAACGCCAUUUUUGUUUCUUGAUAUCAGAAGUUUAAGGUGUUUUCUUUCUAGCAGAGAAGGUUGGAUUGUUAGAUGUUGAUUGAAAUGGAAAUGAGAUUGUGCAUAUUUAUGUAGUUGGGAGGGUCAAAUAUAGGAUCCUAAAAUGGGAGAGUUUGUUAAGUUCUAUAAACAAGCAUGGAGAACAAAUAAAACUUGUGUGGGAUUCCGUCACCGAGUGGAUUUGGUAUCCAUACAAACAUUGUAUUGUCAAACAAUCAAUCCAUACCAUUGAUUAAGUGAAGUUUUAUUUGAAUCCUAUAAUGAGGUGAGGAUUUUUAGCUGCAAUGACUAAAACAUUUAGCUGUACGUUGAGGAUCAAAGUUUUGACUUUGUUAACGAUAUAAAUGAACUUUGUUAUAUGGCCCCUCUGUCAACUUCUUGUAGCUUUUAAAAAUAAAAGUUUAAUGCAUUAUGCUGCUUUCCGAAAUAUAAAGAAAUGAAAGAGGAAGCAAAUUAGUUAGGCAAAAACUCACUUUUCAUCUAAUUUGAUGAAAUUUCCAUGUUUGUCCCUAUAGUUUCAAUUCUAGAAAUUUGACCUAUGUAGUUUGAUUUUAUUGCAAUUUAAAGGAUAUUUCCAAAUUUCCGUCCGAUUUCUUGAUGGAAAAAACACUUGCUCAUACAUGGAGGAGUAUUUUGGAUGGAAAUUUGGAUUUGUCUUUGAAUUGUGAUAGAAUCAAACUACAUUGAUUAAAUUGAUAAAAUUAAAAUUACAUGUGAUAGAAUCAAACUACAUUGAUUUAUUUGACAAAAUUAAAAUUACAUGGACCAAAGUAAAAAAAUCGGGCAAACCACAAGGACCAAAAGUGACAUUAUUUCAAUUAAUUAUGGAUAUAGAGGAAAACGUUUCUCGUGUUUGACAUCUCUUGAUCUUGCAACAACUUUGGGUUCUCAUCCGCUCGAAUUGCCUAGAUCUGGUUGGCAUUGUUUGGGCGAUGAAAAACUCAAGCUAUUUUCUGUAAUACCCUUAAAAAUUAAAGGUGGACUUUCAUAUUUCAGUGAAAAAUAAUACUAUAGUGGAGAAUGAUUAUGGGUAUUUUAUUAAGUAAUUUUGGAUUGAGACUACUCGAUUAAGUGUGUUUAAUUUCAAGUUGGACAUAAAUGCCUUUACAUAACAUUUUGUGAAUUUUUCAAAGCACAUUUAAGAAAUUGAAGUGAGACCAUUCUGAUUCUUAGGUCGGAUGAUAGUAGUCGACCCAAUGAACAUGUAGGAAAUCAUUUCUGCAAUUUUUUCCAAAAUGACCAACAAUACCCCUAUGUGUGAAAAUUACCAAAAUACCCUUGUGGACCCCAAAAAAAAAAGUGUAGGGCAUCAGCCCACUCUCCACCCAAUGUUCCCCAUUGCCUCAAGUUUUUAAAUCAAUAAUCAUUUUGGGGAUGAGUUGGUAUAGGUGAGUUAUUAGCUUAAGGUGUGAGUUGGGAGGCUACUAGAGGGUGAGUCAUCGAGGAUAAGAUUCCCCAAUGAUGAAUCUGAUUUCUUUUAGAGCUAAGUGAGUUUANNNNNNNNNNNNNNNNNNNNNNNNNNNNNNNNNNNNNNNNNNNNNNNNNNNNNNNNNNNNNNNNNNNNNNNNNNNNNNNNNNNNNNNNNNNNNNNNNNNNGAGAGAGAGAGAGAGAGAGAGAGAGAGAGAGAGAGAGAGAGAGAGAGAGAGAGAGAAGAAGAAGAAGAAGAGGAGGAGGAGGAAGAGAAGACUUGGAAAUAAGAGAGAUGUUAUUACUAUUACAUCCAUGAGAGAAUUAAGAAAGAAAAUGUGAGAGGUAGAAAAGAAAAUGGUGAAACAAUUGGAAGGAUGAAAUGUGGGACUCUUGUUCUAAGUUCAUUUUCAAUCCUUGAGUUUUGGUAUAAUUAAUUGUUUGAGCAGAUUUAUAGUUGUAACUGAGUUUGAGAAUGAUUUAUGAACCUUCCGAGGCAUAAGAAAAUCAAAGAAGAAUUUUGAAAUCAAGAUUUUCGGAUUUUGGGUGUGUUGACAAAAGUUUUGGGUUUGGGUGUUCAAACUUUAGAUACAAAUCUUGUUUUUGGGAAGCUUAGGUCAAGGAAAUGAUGUUGGAGUAUAAUUUCGAGUCUUAAGGAUGAUAUUUGAGGUGUUUACAGAGACUCUUGAUAAAAUUCUGAAACUUCGUAUUUUUUUGGAAAUUUCAUUUCAUGGGCCUUACUUUGGCUCUCAUGUUCCUCUGAUUUAUGAAGUAUUUUUGAAAGGUUUUUCAUGUUUUGGAAACUAGGAGUAGCAAGGGUCAAAACCCUUUCGAUUUCACUGAUUUUGUUUAAGUUUUGGGGGACUAAAUAUUGGAGUGAAGUUAGGUUUUCAAAACUGCCGAAACAGAGGAAGCUGGAAAACGAAAAUUCAAAUUUUUGGGUUUGUCUUUGGAUUCGAAAUUCUGACUAACCGUAGUUCUGUUUUCACAAAUCUUUAUAUGUAUUGAAAGCUAAAGUUACAAGCUUCAAUUUGAGUAUGGUCUUGCAAAGAUUUGAUGUUUUUAGACCGUUUUCUAGUAGUGACGGUUGUUUUGCCAUAUGUUUCUUACCAAGUAACGGAUAACUAGUCCCUUAUUAAAAUUUUGGAUAAACCAGUUAGGUUUUUGUCUAGUUGUAUUUUUCUUACCAAUAUAAGAAGUCUUAAAUUUGAUUCUUCACUCACUUGAAGAUGAAACAAAACAUAGACAUAAUUGAUAACAUAUAUUUACAACCAACACAUUCAAAUUUUUAAAAUCUAUAACGACAUAAAGCAAUCCAAGUUCCUACAUCUAAUCACUGCACCCACAAUCUUGACCAGCCUUUUAAUCCAAAAAUUCUUUGAGAUUUUGAAUAAAAAGUUAGGUGACAUUUCAACCUUUACCACAAGUGUUCUAUUAAACUUUAGCUUCCAAUCAUAUGAAGUUCUAAUCUGACUUGAAAUGGUAUAAGAUAUUGUACAAGAUUUGUUAUAUUUACUAGCCUCUUGGCACAUGCUCACGCAUGUACCAAUUGAUUUUCUUUUUUCUUUUAUCUUUUAUUUUUAAAACCAAAAAAAAAAAACCUGGAUAGUAAUAUUCCACAAAAGUAGGACAUAUUAUAUGAUUUUGUUUUUAAUUUUAAUUUUUUAAUAAAUAAAAAGUAAAUUUACCGUAUUAUCCCCAUUUAAUUAUUCAUUUCAAUUCUUAAUGUUUCAAUUAACUAAGGGUAUUUUUUUGUAUUUUGAAUGUUUCGCCAUUCUCUGCCUUUUGUUUAUAUACAUAGAUACUGAGAUGGACUAAAUUUAGCUUACGUGAAUUUUGUGUAAACAAGAAUUAUGUGUAAGCUUCGGUGGGUUGUAAUAUAAUUGUUGGGCUAAGAAAAAAAACCGCACAUGGGCUAUAGCCCAAGUUAAUCUUUACUAAGGACCGUCCCUAGUUGUGAUACAUCCCACAAUCAAAUUGGUCUACAAAUCUCAAUUCAAAAAAUCUCAUAUAUACAAAGAAACCGUGCAUGCAAACACAUGCAUCCAUGAACAAGAAAAUCUUAGGUGGCGUUUGGUAUCUAUUCAAGUAUGAAAUUCAAAACCUUUGAUUUUUCUUUAAAAUAAAGAGUUCUAAAAUCAAAAUUUUAUGAUUCAAAAAUUUGUUUGGUAUUUAAGGAGGGAACUCAAACUUUAAAAACAUGGAGUUUUAAAAUCCAUAGUUUAAGAGUAAAAUCAGUUUGUAGUAAAAAUUCUUAAAAAACCGAUUUGUUUGGGUUUUAAGUAUUUACGUGGUUUUGAGUAACUAGGUCUACCAAACAUAUUUUUUGAAUUUUGGACUCAAUUUAUUUUUUUAAAGUUUAAAAAGUUGAAUUCAAAUAGAAUACCAAACAUACACUUAACAUCCUUUUGAUAUCAUAUUUGUUGUAUUUUUUUAAAAAAAAAUUAAAGACAAAUACGAGAUGGGGAGGCAUUAGACGAUUGAGAUUGAGCAAAAAUAAAAAAAAACAUAAAGAGAAUGAGAUAAUAUUUAGUUAGAAAUUACAAAAAUGAACUAGUAUUAUUCUUUUCAUUUUUUAUCCGUUCUCUUGUCACCUCUCACAACACCAUAUCAAGUAUGGGCGCUUGCAAAAGAAAAAAAAAACACGGGACCUCUCAACAAGCCUCAUGUAAGUGUGCUUACAUACAUCGUCUACUAUGGGCGCUCGUCCUCGGGCUGGUACAUGGGAUCGUAGCUGCAAACGAUGUAGUUCUUUCCAUCCUUGCACUUUGAAAUGCCACAUCCGACCUCAGUAGUUUUCCCCCAGAUCACAGCAAGGUAGUGACCACAUUCCUCUUUGACACAUUUGUUGGACUUGGGGUCAUAGAACUCUUUCUCGGUGACCCAAUAUUUAGUGCCAGCUGCGCCAGUCAUGCCGUCGUCUGAGGUCAAGUUCUCCCCCCAACGCCCUCUUGAGUGCUCCAUAGCGCAGUCGUCAACUCUUUUGUUGGCAUAUUCUUGGGCAUACUAAGCCAAGGUUGUGUUCCACUUAAGGGGUUUGUUACCGACCUCUUUACGAGCCUUGUUGUGCUCCUCGAGGAAGCCAUCGAUCUCUGCUUGGGAAAUGUUUGCAGAGACAAGAGUGAAGACCAAUGCGACGCAGCAGAUGGCCAAAAGAAGCUUCGUGUUGAACGCCAUUUUUGUUUCUUGAUAUCAGAAGUUUAAGGUGUUUUCUUUGUAGCAGAGAAGGUUGGAUUGUUAGAUGUUGACUGAAAUGGGAAAUGAGAUUGUGCAUAUUUAUAUAGUUGGGAGGGUAAAAUAUAGGAUGCUAAAAUGGGAGGGUUUGUUCAGUUCUACAAACAAGCAUGGAGAACAAAUGAAAUUUGUGUGGGAUUGCGUCACCGAGUGGAUUUGGUAUCCAUACAACCAUUGUAUUGUCAGACAAUCAAUCUAUACCAUUGAUUAAGUGAAGUUUUAUUUGAAUCCCAUAAUGAGGUGAGGAUAUUUAGUUGCAAUGACUAAAACAUUCAUCUGUACAUUGAGGAUCAAAGUUUUGAUUUUGUUAACGAUAUAAAUGAACUUUGUUAUAUGGCCCCUCUGUCAACUUCUUGUAGCUUUUAAAAAUAAAAGUUAAAUGCAUUAUGCUGCUUUCUAAAAUAUAAAGAAAUGAAAGAGGAAGAAAAUUAGUUAGGCAAAAACUCACUUUUCAUCUAGUUUGAUGAAAUUUCCACGUUUGUCCCUAUAGUUUCAAUUCCAGCAAUUUGACCUAUGUAGUUUGAUUUUAUUGCAAUUUAAAGGACAUUUCCAAAUUUCCGUCCGAUUUCUUAUGGAAUAAGCACUUGCUCAUAAGUGGGGGAGUAUUUUGGAUGGAAAUUUUGAUUUGUCUUUGAAUUGUGAUAGAAUCAAACUACAUUGAUUAAAUUGAUAAAAUUAAAAUUACAUGUGAUAGAAUCAAACUACAUUGAUUAAAUUGAUAAAAUUAAAAUUACAUAGACCAAAGUAAAAAAAAUUGGGCAAACCACAAGGACCAAAAGUGACAUUAUUUCAAUUAAUUAUGGAUAUAGAGGAAAGCGUUUCUCGUGUUUUGCAUCUCUUGAUCUUGCAACAACUUUGGGUUCUCAUCCACUCGAGUUGCCUAGAUUAGAUUGGCAUUGUUUGGGCGAUGAAAAACUCAUGCUAGUUUUCUGUAAUACCUUGAAAAAUUAAUGGUGAAAUUUCAUAUUUCAGUGAAAAAUAAUACUAUAGUGGAGAAUAAUUAUGGGUAUUUUAUCAAGUAAUUUUGGAUUAAGACUACUGGAUUAAGUGCGUUUAAUUUCAAGUUGGACAUAAAUGCCUUUACAUAACAUUUUGUGAAUUUUUCAAAGGACAUUUAAGAAAUUGAAGUGAGACCAUUCUGAUUCUUAGGUAGACGAUAGUAGUCGACUCAAUGAACACGUAGGAAAUCAUUUCUGCAUUUUUUGCCAAAAUGACCAAAAAUACCCGUAUGUGUGAAAAUUACCAAAAUACACUUGUAGACCCAGCAAAAAAAAAAUUGAAACGUCGAGGGCAUCAGCCCACUCUCCACCCAUUCUUUCCCCAUUGCCUCAAGUUUUCAAAUCAAUAAUCAUUUUGGGGAUGAGUUGGUAUAGGUGAGUUAUUAGCUUAAGGUGUGAGUUGGAAGGCUACUAGAGGGUGAAUCACCUAGGCUAAGAUUCCCCAAUGAUGAAUCUGAUUUCUUUUAGAGCUGAGUUUCUGGUAGGAGAGAGAGAGAGAGAGAGAGAGAGAGAGAGAGAGAGAGAGAGAGAGAGAGAGAGGAAUAAGAAGAAGAAGAAGAGGAGGAGGAGGAGGAGGAGAAGACUUGGAAAUAAGAGAGAUGUUAUUACUAUUACAUCCGUGAGAGAAUUAAGAAAGGAAAUGUGUGAGGUAGAAAAGAAAAUGGUGGAAAUAUUGAAACAAUUGGAAGGAUGAAAGGUGGGAUUCUUGUUCUAAGUUCAUUUUCAAUCCUUGAGUGUUGGUAUCAUUAAUUGUUUGAGUAGAGUUAUCGUUGUUACUGAGUUUGAGAAUGAUAUAUGAACCUUCUGAGGCAUAACAAAAUCACAGAAGAAUUUUGAAAUCAAGAUUUUUGGAUUUUGGGUGUGUUGACAAAUAUUUUGGGUUUGGGUGUUCAAACUUUAGAUCCAAAUAUUGUUUUUGGGAAGCUUAGGUCAAGGAAAUGAUGUUGGAGUAUGAUUUCGAGUCUUAAGGAUGGUAUUUGAGGUGUUUAAAGAGACUCUUGAUAAAAUUCUAAAACUUCGUAUUUUUUUAGAAAUUUCAGUUCAUGGGCCUUAAUUUGGCUCCCGUGUUCCUCUGAUUUAUGAAGUAUUUUUGAAAGGUGUUCCAUGUUUUGGAAACUAGGAAUAGCAAGGGUCAAAAUCCUUUUGAUUUCACUGAUUUUGUUUAAGUUUUGGGGGAUUAAAUAUUGGAGUGAAGUUUGGUUUUCAAAACUGACAAAACAGAGGAAGCUGAAAAACGAAAAUUCAAAUUUUUGGGUUUGUCUUUGGAUUCAAAUUUCUCACUAACUGUAGCUUUGUUUUCACAUAUCUUUAUAUGUAUAGAAAGCUAAGGUUACAAGCUUCAAUUUGUGUAUCGUCUUGCAAGGAUUUGAUGUUUUAAGACCAUUCUCUAGUAGUGACGGUUGUUUAGCCUUAUGUUUCUUACAAAAAUAACGGAUAAUUAGUCCCUUAAUAAAAUUUUUGAUAAACCAGUUUGCUUUUUGUCUAGUUGUAUUUUUCUUUCCAAUAUAAGAAGUCCUAAAUUUGAAUCUUCCCUCGCUUGAAGAUUAAAAAAAACAUAGACAUAAUUGAUAACAUAUAUUUACAACCAACACAUUCAAAUUUUCAAAAUCUAUAAUGACAUAAAGCAAUCCAAGUUCCUACCUCUAAUCACUGCACCCACAAUCUUGACCAAGCGUUUUAAUCCAAAAAUUCUUUGAGACCUUGAAUAAAAAGUUAGGUGACAUUUCAACCUUUACCACAAGUGUUCUAUUAUACUUUAGCUUCCAAUCAUAUGGUAUAAGAUAUCGUACAAGAUUUAUUAUAUUUACUAGCCUCUUGACACAUGCUCACGCAUGUACCAAUUGAUUUUAUUUUUUAUUUUUUAUUUUAUUUUUAAAAUAAAAAAAUAACAUGGAUAGUUACGUUCCACAAAAGUAGGACAUAUUAUAUGAUUUUGUUUUUAAUUUUAAUUUUUUUAAUAUAAAAAAUGUGCAUUUACCGUAUUAUCCUCAAUUAAUUAAUAAUUUCAAUUCUUAAUGUUUCAAUUAACUAAGGGUAUUUUUUGGUAUUUUGAAUGUUCCACCAUUCUCUGCAUUGUGCUUUAUAUACAUAGAUAAUGAGAUGGACUGAAUUUACCUUAUGUGAAUUAUGUGUAAAGAAGUAUUAUGUGUAGGCUUCUGUGGGUUGUAAUAUAAAUGUUGGGCUAAGGAAAAAAACGACACAUGUUCUAUAGCCCAAGUUAAUCUUUACUAAGGACUGUCCCUAGUUAUGAUACAACCCACAAUCAAAUUGGUCUACAAAUCUCAAUUCAAAAAAUCUCAUAUAUACAUAAAGAAACAGUGCAUGCAAACACAUGCAUCCAUGAACAAGAAAAUCUUAGGUGGCGUUUGGUAUCUUUUCGAGUAUGAAAUUCAAAAACUUUGAUUUUUCUUAAAAACAAAGAGUUCUAAAAUCAAAUUUUUAAGAUUCAAAAACUUGGUUGGUAUUCAAGGAGGGCACUCAAACUUUAAAAAUAAGGAGUUCUAAAAUCCAUACUUUAAGAUUAAAAACAGUUUGUAGUAAAAAUUCUUAAAAAACCGAUUUGUUUGGGUUUUAAGUAUUUGCGUGGUUUGGAGUAACUAGGUCUACCAAACAUAUUUUUUGAAUUUUGGACUCAAUUUAUUUUUUUUAAGUUUAAAAAUUUGAAUUCAAAUAGAAUACCAAACAUACACUUAACAUCCUUUUGAUUUCACAUUUGUCGUAUUUUAAAAAAAAAAUAUUAAAAACAAAUACGAGAUGGGGAGGCAUUAGAUGAUUGAGAUUGAGCAAAAAUUAAAAAAAACAUAAAGAGAAUGAGAUAAUAUUUAGUGAGAAAUUACAAAAAAAAANNNNNNNNNNNNNNNNNNNNNNNNNNNNNNNNNNNNNNNNNNNNNNNNNNNNNNNNNNNNNNNNNNNNNNNNNNNNNNNNNNNNNNNNNNNNNNNNNNNNNNNNNNNNNNNNNNNNNNNNNNNNNNNNNNNNNNNNNNNNNNNNNNNNNNNNNNNNNNNNNNNNNNNNNNNNNNNNNNNNNNNNNNNNNNNNNNNNNNNNNNNNNNNNNNNNNNNNNNNNNNNNNNNNNNNNNNNNNNNNNNNNNNNNNNNNNNNNNNUCACAGCAAGGUAGUGACCACAUCCUCUUGACACAUUGUUGGACUUGGGGUCAUAAAACUCUUUCUCGGUGACCCAAUAUUUGGUGCCAGCUGCGCCAGUCAUGCCGUCGCCCGAGGUCAAGUUCUCACCCCAACGCCCCCUUGAGUGCUCCAUUGCGCAGUCGUCAACUCUUUUGUUGGCAUAUUCUUGGGCAUACUGGGCCAAGGUUGUGUUCCACUUAAGGGGUUUGUUGCCAACCUCUUUACGAGCCUUGUUGUGCUCCUCGAGGAAGCCAUCGAUCUCUGCUUGGGAAAUGUUUGCAGAGACAAGAGUGAAGACCAAUGCGACGCAGCAGAUGGCCAAAAGUAGCUUCGUGUUGAACGCCAUUUUUGUUUCUUGAUAUCAGAAGUUUAAGGUGUUUUCUUUGUAGCAGAGAAGGUUGGAUUGUUAGAUGUUGAUUGAAAUGGGAAAUGAGAUUGUGCAUAUUUAUAUAGUUGGGAGGGUUAAAUAUAGGAUCCUAAAAUGGGAGGGUUUGUUAAGUUCUAUAAACAAGCAUGGAGAACAAAUAAAACUUGUGUGGGAUUGCGUCACCGAGUGGAUUUGGUAUCCUUACAAACAUUGUAUUGUCAGACAAUCAAUCUAUACCAUUGAUUCAAUGAAGUUUUAUUUGAAUCCUAUAAUCAGGUGAGGAUUUUUAGCUCCAAUGACUAAAACAUUCAGCUGUACAUUGAGGAUCAAAGUUUUGAUUUUGUUAACGAUAUAAAUGAACUUUGUUAUAUGACUCCUCUGUCAACUUCUUGCAGCUUUUAAAAAUAAAAGUAAACGCAUAUGCUGCUUUCCAAAAUAUAAAGAAUGAAAGAGGAAGCAAAUUAGUUAGGCAAAAACUCACUUUUCAUCUAGUUUGAUGAAAUUUUUCCGUUUGUCCCCUAUAGUUUCAAUUCUAGCAAUUUGACCUAUGUAGUUUGAUUUUAUUGCAAUUUAAAGGACAUUUCCAAAUUUCCGUCCGAUUUCUUGAUGGAAUAAACACUUGCUCAUACGUGGAGGAGUAUUUUGGAUGGAAAUUUGGAUUUGUCUUUGAAUUGUAAUAGAAUCAAACUACAUUGAUUAAAUUGAUAAAAUUAAAAUUACAUGUGAUAGAAUCAAACUACAUUGAUUAAAUUGACAAAAUUAAAAUUACAUGGACCAAAGUAAAAAAAUUGGGCAAGCCACAAAGGAGCAAAAGUGACAUUAUUUCAAUUAAUUAUGGAUAUAGUGGAAAACGUUUCUCGUGUUUUGCAUCUCUUGAUCUUGCAACAACUUUGGGUUCUCAUCCGCUCGAGUUUCCCAGAUCAGAUUGGCAUUGUUUGGGAGAUGAAAAACUCAUGCUAGUUUUCUGUAAUACCCUGAAAAAUUAAAGGGAGACUUUCAUAUUUCAGUGAAAAAUAAUACUAUUGUGGAAAAUGAUUAUGGGUAUUUUAUCAAGGAAUUUUGGAUUGAGACUAUUGGAUUAAGUGUGUUUAAUUUCAAGUUGGACAUAAAUGCCUUUACAUAACAUUUUGUGAAUUUUUCAAAGGACAUUUAAGAAAUUGAAGUGAGACCAUUCUGAUUCUUAGGUAGACGAUAGUAGUCGACUCAAUGAACACGUAGGAAAUCAUUUCUGCAUUUUUUGCCAAAAUGACCAAAAAUACCCGUAUGUGUGAAAAUUACCAAAAUACACUUGUAGACCCAGCAAAAAAAAAAUUGAAACGUCGAGGGCAUCAGCCCACUCUCCACCCAUUCUUUCCCCAUUGCCUCAAGUUUUCAAAUCAAUAAUCAUUUUGGGGAUGAGUUGGUAUAGGUGAGUUAUUAGCUUAAGGUGUGAGUUGGAAGGCUACUAGAGGGUGAAUCACCUAGGCUAAGAUUCCCCAAUGAUGAAUCUGAUUUCUUUUAGAGCUGAGUUUCUGGUAGGAGAGAGAGAGAGAGAGAGAGAGAGAGAGAGAGAGAGAGAGAGAGAGAGAGAGAGGAAUAAGAAGAAGAAGAAGAGGAGGAGGAGGAGGAGGAGAAGACUUGGAAAUAAGAGAGAUGUUAUUACUAUUACAUCCGUGAGAGAAUUAAGAAAGGAAAUGUGUGAGGUAGAAAAGAAAAUGGUGGAAAUAUUGAAACAAUUGGAAGGAUGAAAGGUGGGAUUCUUGUUCUAAGUUCAUUUUCAAUCCUUGAGUGUUGGUAUCAUUAAUUGUUUGAGUAGAGUUAUCGUUGUUACUGAGUUUGAGAAUGAUAUAUGAACCUUCUGAGGCAUAACAAAAUCACAGAAGAAUUUUGAAAUCAAGAUUUUUGGAUUUUGGGUGUGUUGACAAAUAUUUUGGGUUUGGGUGUUCAAACUUUAGAUCCAAAUAUUGUUUUUGGGAAGCUUAGGUCAAGGAAAUGAUGUUGGAGUAUGAUUUCGAGUCUUAAGGAUGGUAUUUGAGGUGUUUAAAGAGACUCUUGAUAAAAUUCUAAAACUUCGUAUUUUUUUAGAAAUUUCAGUUCAUGGGCCUUAAUUUGGCUCCCGUGUUCCUCUGAUUUAUGAAGUAUUUUUGAAAGGUGUUCCAUGUUUUGGAAACUAGGAAUAGCAAGGGUCAAAAUCCUUUUGAUUUCACUGAUUUUGUUUAAGUUUUGGGGGAUUAAAUAUUGGAGUGAAGUUUGGUUUUCAAAACUGACAAAACAGAGGAAGCUGAAAAACGAAAAUUCAAAUUUUUGGGUUUGUCUUUGGAUUCGAAUUUCUCAGUAACCGUAGCUUUGUUUUCACAUAUCUUUAUAUGUAUAGAACGCUAAGGUUACAAGCUUCAAUUUGAGUAUGGUCUUGCAAAGAUUUGAUGUUUUAAGACCGUUUUCUAGUAGUGACGGUUGUUUUGCCAUAUGUUUCUUACCAAAGUAACGGAUAAUUAGUCCCUUAUUAAAAUUUUGGAUAAACUAGUUAGGUUUUUGUCUAGUUGUAUUUUUCUUUCCAAUAUAAGAAGUCUUAAAUUCGAUUCUUCCCUCACUUGAAGAUGAAAAAAAACAUAGACAUAAUUGAUAACAUAUAUUUACAACCAACACAUUCAAAUUUUCAAAAUCUAUAAUGACAUAAACCAAUCCAAAUUCCUACCUCUAAUCACUGCACCCACAAUCUUGACCAAGCGUUUUAAUCCAAAAAUUCUUUGAGAUCUUGAAUAAAAAGUUAGGUGACAUUUCAACCUUUACCACAAGUGUUCUAUUAUACUUUAGCUUCCAAUCAUAUGAAGUUCUAAUCUAACUUGAAAUGGUAUAAGAUAUCAUAGAAGAUUUGUUAUAUUUAGUAGCCUCUUGGCACAUGCUCUCGCAUGUACUAAUUGGUUUUCUUUUUUCUUUUUUCUUUCAUUUUUAAAAUAAAUAAAAAAACAUGGAUAGUUAUGUUCCACAAAAGUAGGACAUAUUAUAUGAUUUUGUUUUUAAUUUUAAUUUUUUUAGUAUAAAAAAUGUGAAUUUACCGUAUUAUCCCCAUUUAGUUAUUCAUUUCAAUUCUUAAUGUUUCAAUUAACUAAGGGUAUUUUUUGGUAUUUUGAAUGUUUCACUAUUUUCUGCCUUUUGUUUUAUAUACAUAGAUAAUGAGAUGGACUAAAUUUACUUUAUGUGAAUUAUGUGUAAAGAAGUAUUAUGUGUAGGCUUUAGUGGGUUGUAAUAUAAAUUUUGGGCUAAGAAAAAAAACCGCACAUGGGCUAUAGCCCAAGUUAAUUUUUACUAAGGACCGUCCCUAGUUAUGAUACAACCCACAAUCAAAUUGGUCUACAAAUCUCAAUUCAAAAAAUCUCAUAUAUACAUAAAGAAACGGUGCAUGCAAACACAUGCAUCCAUGAACAAGAAAAUCUUAAGUGGUGUUUGGUAUCUAUUCCAGUAUGAAAUUCAAAACCUUUGAUUUUUCCUAAAAAUAAAGAGUUCGAAAAUUAAAUUUUUAAGAUUCAAAAACUUGUUUGGUAUCCAAGGAGGGAACUCAAACUUUAAAAACAAGGAGUUCUAAAAUCGUACUUUAAGAUUAAAAACAGUUUGUAGUAAAAAUUCUUAAAAAACCGAUUUGUUUGGGUUUUAAGUAUUUGCGUGGUUUUGAGUAACUAGGUAUACCAAAAAUAUUUUUUGAAUUUUGGACUCAAUUUAUUUUUUUAAAGUUUAAAAAGUUGAAUUCAAAUAGAAUACCAAACAUAUACUUAACAUCCUUUUGAUAUCACAUUUGUCGUAUUUAAAAAAAAAAAAAUAAAGACAAAUACGAGAUUGGGAGACAUUAGACGAUUGAGAUUGAGCCAAAAAAAAAAACAUAAAGAGAAUGAGAUAACAUUUACUUAGAAAUUACAAAAAUGAACUAGUAUUAUUCUUUUCAUUUUUUAUCCAUUCUCUUGUCACCUCUCACAAUACCAUAUCAAGUAUGGGUGCUCGCAAAAGAAAAAAAAAACAUGGGACCUCUCAACAGGCCUUAUGUAAGUGUGCAUACAUACAUCGUCUAGUAUGGACGCUCGUCCUCGGGCUGGUACAUGGGAUCGUAGCUGCAAACGAUGUAGUUCUUUCCAUCCUUGCACUUUGAAAUCCCACAUCCGACCUCGGUGGUUUUGCCCCAGAUCACAGCAAGGUAGUGACCACAUUCCUCUUUGACACAUUUGUUGGACUUGGGGUCAUAAAACUCUUUCUCGGUGACCCAAUAUUUGGUGCCAGCUGCGCCAGUCAUGCCGUCGCCCGAGGUCAAGUUCUCACCCCAACGCCCCCUUGAGUGCUCCAUUGCGCAGUCGUCAACUCUUUUGUUGGCAUAUUCUUGGGCAUACUGGGCCAAGGUUGUGUUCCACUUAAGGGGUUUGUUGCCAACCUCUUUACGAGCCUUGUUGUGCUCCUCGAGGAAGCCAUCGAUCUCUGCUUGGGAAAUGUUUGCAGAGACAAGAGUGAAGACCAAUGCGACGCAGCAGAUGGCCAAAAGAAGCUUCGUGUUGAACGCCAUUUUUGUUUCUUGAUAUCAGAAGUUUAAGGUGUUUUCUUUGUAGCAGAGAAGGUUGGAUUGUUAGAUGUUGACUGAAAUGGGAAAUGAGAUUGUGCAUAUUUAUAUAGUUGGGAGGGUAAAAUAUAGGAUGCUAAAAUGGGAGGGUUUGUUCAGUUCUACAAACAAGCAUGGAGAACAAAUGAAAUUUGUGUGGGAUUGCGUCACCGAGUGGAUUUGGUAUCCAUACAACCAUUGUAUUGUCAGACAAUCAAUCUAUACCAUUGAUUAAGUGAAGUUUUAUUUGAAUCCCAUAAUGAGGUGAGGAUAUUUAGUUGCAAUGACUAAAACAUUCAUCUGUACAUUGAGGAUCAAAGUUUUGAUUUUGUUAACGAUAUAAAUGAACUUUGUUAUAUGGCCCCUCUGUCAACUUCUUGUAGCUUUUAAAAAUAAAAGUUAAACGCAUUAUGCUGCUUUCCAAAAUAUAAAGAAAUGAAAGAGGAAGCAAAUUAGUUAGGCAAAAACUCACUUUUCAUCUAAUUUAAUGAAAUUUUCACGUUUGUCCCUAUAGUUUCAAUUCUAGCAAUUUGACCUAUGUAGUCUGAUUUUAUUUCAAUUUAAAGGACAUUUCCAAAUUUCCGUCUGAUUUCUUGAUGGAAUAAACACUUGCUCAUACAUGGAGGAGUAUUUUGGAUGGAAAUUUGGAUUUGUCUUUGAAUUGUGAUAGAAUCAAACUACAUUGAUUAAAUUGAUAAAAUUAAAAUUACAUGUGAUAGAAUCAAACUACAUUGAUUUAUUUGACAAAAUUAAAAUUACAUGGACCAAAGUAAAAAAAUCGGACAAACCACAAGGACCAAAAGUGACAUUAUUUCAAUUAAUUAUGGAUGUAGAGGAAAACGUUUCCCAUGUUUUGCAUCUCUUCAUCUUGCAACAACUUUGGGUUCUCAUCCGCUCGAAUUGCCUAGAUCUGGUUGGCAUUGUUUGGGCGAUGAAAAACUCAAGCUAUUUUCUGUAAUACCCUUAAAAAUUAAAGGUGGACUUUCAUAUUUCAGUGAAAAAUAAUACUAUAGUGGAGAAUGAUUAUGGAUAUUUUAUCAAGUAAUUUUGGAUGGAGACUACUGGAUUAAGUGUGUUUAAUUUCAAGUUGGACAUAAAUGCCUUUACAUAACAUUUUGUGAAUUUUUCAAAGGACAUUUUUAAGAAAUUGAAGUGAGACCAUUCUGAUUCUUAGGUCGGAUGAUAGUAGUCGACCCAAUGAACAUGUAGGAAAUCAUUUCUGCAAUUUUUUCCAAAAUGACCAACAAUACCCCUAUGUGUGAAAAUUACCAAAAUACCCUUCAUGACCCAAAAAAAGGAAAAAAUUGAAAUGUGGAGGGCAUCAGCCGACUCUCCACCCAUUCUUUCCCCAUUGCCUCAAGUUUUUAAAUCAAUAAUCAUUUUGGGGAUGAGUUGGUAUAGGUGAGUUAUUAGCUUAAGGUGUGAGUUGGGAGGCUACUAGAGGGUGAGUCAUCGAGGAUAAGAUUCCCCAAUGAUGAAUCUGAUUUCUUUUAGAGCUGAGUUUCUGGUGGGAGAGAGAGAGAGAGAGAGAGAGAGAGAGAGAGAGAGAGAGAGAGAGAGAGAGAGAUUAAGAAGAAGGAGAAGAGGAGGAGGAGGAGGAGGAGAAGACUUGGAAAUAAGAGAGAUGUUAUUACUAUUACAUCCGUGAGAGAAUUAAGAAAGGAAAUGUGUGAGGUAGAAAAGAAAAUGGUGGAAAUAUUGAAACAAUUGGAAGGAUGAAAGGUGGGAUUCUUGUUCUAAGUUCAUUUUCAAUCCUUGAGUGUUGGUAUCAUUAAUUGUUUGAGUAGAGUUAUCGUUGUUACUGAGUUUGAGAAUGAUAUAUGAACCUUCUGAGGCAUAACAAAAUCACAGAAGAAUUUUGAAAUCAAGAUUUUUGGAUUUUGGGUGUGUUGACAAAUAUUUUGGGUUUGGGUGUUCAAACUUUAGAUCCAAAUAUUGUUUUUGGGAAGCUUAGGUCAAGGAAAUGAUGUUGGAGUAUGAUUUCGAGUCUUAAGGAUGGUAUUUGAGGUGUUUAAAGAGACUCUUGAUAAAAUUCUAAAACUUCGUAUUUUUUUAGAAAUUUCAGUUCAUGGGCCUUAAUUUGGCUCCCGUGUUCCUCUGAUUUAUGAAGUAUUUUUGAAAGGUGUUCCAUGUUUUGGAAACUAGGAAUAGCAAGGGUCAAAAUCCUUUUGAUUUCACUGAUUUUGUUUAAGUUUUGGGGGAUUAAAUUUCGAGGGAAGUUAGGUUUUCAAAACUGCCGAAACAGAGGAAGCUGGAAAACGAAAAUUCAAAUUUUUGGGUUUGUCUUUGGAUUCGAAUUUCUGACUAAUCGUAGCUCUGUUUUCACAUAUCUUUAUAUGUAUCGAAAGCUAAGGUUACAAGCUUCAAUUUGAGUAUGGUCUUGCAAAGAUUUGAUGUUUUAAGACCGUUUUCUAGCAGUGACGGUUGUUUAGCCAUAUGUUUCUUACCAAAGGAAUGGAUAAUUAGUCCCUUAUUAAAAUUUUGGAUAAACCAGUUAGGUUUUUGUCUAGUUGUAUUUUUGCUUCCAAUAUAAGAAGUCUUAAAUUUGAUUCUUCCCUCACUUGAAGAUGAAAAAAAACAUACACAUAAUUGAUAACAUAUAUUUACAACCAACACAUUCAAAUUUUCAAAAUCUAUAAUGACAUAAAGCAAUCCAAGUUCCUACCUCUAAUCACUGCACCCACAAUCUUGACCAAGCGUUUUAAUCCAAAAAUUCUUUGGGAUCUUGAAUAAAAAUUUAGGUGACUUUUCAACCUUUACCACAAGUGUUCUAUUAUACUUUAGCUUCCAAUCAUAUGAAGUUCUAAUCUGACUUGAAAUGGUAUAAGAUAUCAUAGAAGAUUUGUUAUAUUUACAAGCCUCUUGGCACAUGCUCACGCAUGUACCAAUUGGUUUUAUUUUUUAUUUUUUAUUUUAUUUUUAAAAUAAAAAAAAUAACGUGGAUAGUUAUGUUCCACAAAAGUAGGACAUAUUAUAUGAUUUUGUUUUUAAAUUUUUUUAAUAUAAAAAAUGUGAAUUUUCCGUAUUAUCCCCAUUUAAUUAUUCAUUUCAAUUCUUAAUGUUUCAAUUAACUGAGGGUAUUUUUUGGUAUUUUGAAUGUUUCACCAUUCUCUGCCUUUUGUUUUAUAUACAUAGAUAAUGAGAUGGACUAAAUUUACCUUAUGUGAAUUAUGUGUAAAGAAGUAUUAUGUGUAGGCUUCGGUGGGUUGUAAUAUAAAUGUUGGGCUAAGAAAAAAAAAACGCACGUGGGCUAUAGCCCAAGUUAAUCUUUACUAAGGACAGUCCCAAGUUAUGAUACAACCCACAAUCAAAUUGGUCUACAAAUCUCAAUUCAAAAAAUCUCAUAUAUACAUAAAGAAACGGUGCAUGUAAACACAUGCAUCCAUGAACAAGAAAAUCUUAGGUGGCAUUUGGUAUCUAUUCAAGUAUGAAAUUUAGAUCAAGAAAAUCUGAGUUUGAGAAUGAUUUAUGAACCUUCUGAGGCAUAAGAAAAUCAAAGAAGAAUUUUGAAAUCAAGAUUAUCGGAUUUUGGGUGUGUUGAAUUUUUUUUGUGUUUUGGUGUUCAAACUUUAGAUCCAAAUCUUGUUUUUGGAAAGCUUUGGUCAAGGAAAUGAUGUUGGAGUAUGAUUUCGAGUCUUAAGGAUGCUAUUUGAGGUGUUGAAAGAGACUCUUGAUAAAAUUCUGAAACUCCAUAUAUUUUUGGAAAUUUCAGUUCAUGGGCCUUACUUUGGCUCUCAUGUUCCUCAGAUUUAUGAAUUUUUGAAAGGUUUUUCAUGUUUUGGAAACUAGGCAUAGCAAGGGUCAAAACCCUUUUGAUUUCACUGAUUAUGUUGAAGUUUUGGGAGAUUAAAUAUUGGAGUGAAUUUAGGUUUCCAAAACUGCCCAAACAGAGGAACUGGAAAACGAAAAUUUAAAUUUUUGGGUCUGUCUUUGGAUUCAAAUUUCUCACUAACUGUACCUCUGUUUUCACAUAUCUUUAUAUGUAUAGAAAGCUAAGGUUACAAGCUUCAAUUUGAGUACGGUCUUGCAAAGAGUUGAUGUUUUAAGACCGUUGUCUAGUAGUGACGGUUGUUUAGCCUUACGUUUCUUACCAAAGUAAUAGAUAAUUAGUCCCAUAUUAAAAUUUUGGAUAAACCAGUUAUGUUUUUGUCUAGUUGUAUUUUUCUUUCCAAUAUAAGAAGUCUUAAAUUCGAUUCUUCCCUCACUUGAAGAUGAAAAAAAACAUAGACAUAAUUGAUAACAUAUAUUUACAACCAACACAUUCAAAUUUUCAAAAUCUACAAUGACAUAAAGCAAUCCAAGUAGUCUUGACCAAGCGUUUUAAUCCAAAAAUUCUUUGAGAUCUUGAAUAAAAGGUUAGGUGACAUUUCAACCUUCACCACAAGUGUUCUAUUAAACUUUAGCUUCCAGUCAUAUGAAGUUCUAAUCUGACUUGAAAUGGUAUAAGAUAUCGUACAAGAUUUGUUAUAUUUACUACCCAAUUGGUUUUCUUUUUUAUUUCUUAUUUUAUUUUUAAAAUAUAAAAAAAGAUAACAUGGAUAGUUAUGUUCCACAAAAGUAUGACAUAUUAUAUGAUUUUGUUUUUAAUUUUAAUUUUUUUAAUAUAAAAAAUGUGAAUUUACCGUAUUAUCCUCAUUUAAUUAAUAAUUUCAAUUCUUGACGUUUCAAUUAACUAAGGAUAUAUUUUAGUAUUUUGAAUGUUUCACCAUUCUCUGUCUUUUGCUUUAUAUACAUAGAUAAUGAGAUGGACUAAAUUUACCUUACGUGAAUUAUGUGUAAAGAAGUAUUAUGCGUAGGCUUCAGUGGGUUGUAAUAUAAAUGUUGGCUAAGAAAAAAAACCACACAUGGGCUAUAGCCCAAGUUAAUCUUUACUAAGGAUCGUCCCUAGUUAUGAUACAACCCACAAUCAAAUUGGUCUACAAAUCUCAAUUCAAAAAAUCUCAUAUAUACAUAAAGAAACGGUGCAUGCAAACACAUGCAUCCAUGAACAAGAAAAUCUUAGGUGGCGUUUGGUAUCUAUUCAAGUAUGAAAUUCAAAAACUAUAAUUUUUCUAAAAACAAAGAGUUCUAAAAUCAAAUUUUUAAGAUUCAAAAACUUGUUUGGUAUUCAAGGAGGGAACUCAAACUUUAAAAACAAGGAGUUCUAAAAUCCAUACUUUAAGAUUAAAAACAGUUUGUAGUAAAAAGUCUUAAAAAACCGAUUUGUUUGGGUUUUAAGUAUUUGCGUGGUUUGGAGUAACUAGGUCUACCAAACAUAUUUUUUGAAUUUUGGACUUAAUUUUUUUUUUUUAAAGUUUAAAAAGUUGAAUUCAAAUAGAAUACCAAACAUACACUUAACAUCCUUUUGAUAUCACAUUUGUCUUAUUGUUUUUAACAAAUUAAAGACAAAUGCGAGAUGGGGAGGCAUUAGACGAUUGAGAUUGAGCAAAAACAAAAGAAAAAAUAAAGAGAAUGAGAUAAUAUUUAGUUAGAAAUUACAAAAAUGAAAUAAUAUUAUUCUAUCCAUUUUUUAUCCAUUCUCUUGUCACCUCUCACAAUACCAUAUCAAGUAUGGGCGCUCGAAAAAGAAAAAAAAAAACACGGGACCUCUCAACGGCCCUCAUGUAAGUGUGCAUACAUACAUCAUCUAGUAUGGGCGCUCGUCCUCGGGCUGGUACAUGGGAUCGUAGCUGCAAACAAUGUAGUUCUUUCCAUCCUUGCACUUUGAAAUGCCACAUCCGACCUCGGUGGUUUUGCCCCAGAUCACAGCAAGGUAGUGACCACAUUCCUCUUUGACACAUUUGUUGGACUUGGGGUCAUAGAACUCUUUCUCGGUGACCCAAUAUUUAGUGCCAGCUGCGCCGGUCAUGCCGUCGCCCGAGGUCAAGUUCUCACCCCAACGCCCCCUUGAGUGCUCCAUAGCGCAAUCGUCAACUCUUUUGUUGGCAUAUUCUUGGGCAUACUGGGCCAAGGUUGUGUUUCACUUAAGGGGUUUGUUGCCGACCUCUUUACGAGCCUUGUUGUGCUCCUCGAGGAAGCCAUUGAUCUCUGCUUGGGAAAUGUUUGCAGAGACAAGAGUGAAGACCAAUGCGACGCAGCAGAUGGCCAAAAGAAGCUUCGUGUUGAACGUCAUUUUUGUUUCUUGAUAUCAGAAGUUUAAGGUGUUUUCUUUGUAGCAGAGAAGGUUGGAUUGUUAGAUGUUGAUUGAAAUGGGAAAUGAGAUUGUGCAUAUUUAUAUAGUUGGGAGGGUUAAAUAUAGGAUCCUAAAAUGGGAGGAUUUGUUAAGUUCUAUAAACAAGCAUGGAGAUCAAAUAAAACUUGUAUGGGAUAACGAGUGGAUUUGGUAUCCAUACAAACAUUGUAUUGUCAGACAAUCAAUCUCUACCAUUGAUUAAGUGAAGUUUUAUUUGAAUCCUAUAAUUAGGUGAGGAUUUUUAGCUGCAAUGACUAAAACACUCAGCUGUAUACUGAUGAUGAAAUUUUUGACUUUGUUAACGAUAUAAAUGAACUUUGUUACAUGGCCCCUCUGUCAACUUCUUGUAGCUUUUAAAAAUAAAAGUUAAAUGCAUUAUGCUGCUUUCCAAAAUAUAAAGAAAUGAAAGAGGAAGCAAAUUAGUUAGGCAAAAACUCACUUUUCAUCUAGUUUGAUGAAAUUUUUCCGUUUGUCCCUAUAGUUUCAAUUCUAGCAAUUUGACCUAUGUAGUUUGAUUUUAUUGCAAUUUAAAGGACAUUUCCAAAUUUCCGUCCGAUUUCUUGAUGGAAUAAACACUUGCUCAUACGUGGAGGAGUAUUUUGGAUGGAAAUUUGGAUUUGUCUUUGAAUUGUAAUAGAAUCAAACUACAUUGAUUAAAUUGAUAAAAUUAAAAUUACAUGUGAUAGAAUCAAACUACAUUGAUUAAAUUGACAAAAUUAAAAUUACAUGGACCAAAGUAAAAAAAUUGGGCAAGCCACAAAGGAGCAAAAGUGACAUUAUUUCAAUUAAUUAUGGAUAUAGUGGAAAACGUUUCUCGUGUUUUGCAUCUCUUGAUCUUGCAACAACUUUGGGUUCUCAUCCGCUCGAGUUCCCAGAUCAGAUUGGCAUUGUUUGGGAGAUGAAAAACUCAUGCUAGUUUUCUGUAAUACCCUGAAAAAUUAAAGGGAGACUUUCAUAUUUCAGUGAAAAAUAAUACUAUUGUGGAAAAUGAUUAUGGGUAUUUUAUCAAGGAAUUUUGGAUUGAGACUAUUGGAUUAAGUGUGUUUAAUUUCAAGUUGGACAUAAAUGCCUUUACAUAACAUUUUGUGAAUUUUUCAAAGGACAUUUAAGAAAUUGAAGUGAGACCAUUCUGAUUCUUAGGUAGGACAAUAGUAGUUGACUCAAUGAACACGUAGGAAAUCAUUUCUGCAUUUUUUGCGAAAAUGACCAAAAAUACCCUUAUGUGUGAAAAUUACCGAAAUAAGCUUGUAGACCCAGAAAAAAAAAAUUGAAACGUGGAGGGCAUCAGCCCACUUUCCGCCCAUUCUUUCUCCAUUGCCUCAAGUUUUCAAAUCAAUAAUCAUUUGGGGGAUGAGUUGGUGUAGGUGAGUUAUUAGCUUAAGGUGUGAGUUGGAAGGCUACUAGAGGGUGAGUCACCUAGGCUAAGAUUCCCAAAUGAUGAAUCUGAUUUCUUUUAGAGCUAAGUGAGUUUCUGGUGGGAGGGGAAGAUAAUGAGAGAGAGAGAGAGAGAGAGGAGAAGAAGAAGAAGAAGAAGAAGAAGAGGAGGAGGAGGAGAAGACUUGGAAAUAAGGGAGAUGUUAUUACGAUUAUAUCCAUGAGAGGAUUAAGAAAGAAAAUGGUGGAAAUAUUGAAUCAAUUGGAAUGAUGAAAGGUGGGACUCUUGUUCUAAGUUCAUUUUUAAUCCUUGAGUUUUGGUAUAAUUAAUUGUUUGAGUAGAUUUAUAGUUGUAACUGAGUUUGAGAAUGAUUUAUGAACCUUCUAAGGCAUAAGAAAAUCAAAGAAGAAUUUUGAAAUCAAGAUUUAAUGAUUUUGUGUGUGUUGAUAAAUUUUUGGGUUUGGGUGUUCAAACUUUGGAUCCAAAUCUUGUUUUUGGGAAGCUUAGGUCAAGGAAAUGAUGUUGGAGCAUGAUUUCGAGUCUUAAGGAUGGUAUUUGAGGUGUUGAAAGAGAUUCUUUGUAAAAUUCUAAAACUUCGUAUUUUUUUGGAAAUUUCAGUUCAUGGGCCUCACUUUGGCUCUCAUGUUCCUCUGAUUUAUGAAGUAUUUUUGAAAGGUUUUUCAAGUUUUGGAAACUAGGAAUAGCAAGGGUCAAAACCCUUUUGAUUUCACUGAUUUUGUUUAAGUUUUGGGGGAUUAAAUGUCAGAGUGAAGUUAGGUUUUCAAAACUGUCGAAACAGAGGAAGCUGGAAAACGAAAAUUCAAAUUUUUGGGUUUGUCUUUGGAUUCAAAUUUCUCACUAACUGUAGCUUUGUUUUCACAUAUCUUUAUAUGUAUAGAAAGCUAAGGUUACAAGCUUCAAUUUGUGUAUCGUCUUGCAAGGAUUUGAUGUUUUAAGACCAUUCUCUAGUAGUGACGGUUGUUUAGCCUUAUGUUUCUUACAAAAAUAACGGAUAAUUAGUCCCUUAAUAAAAUUUUUGAUAAACCAGUUUGCUUUUUGUCUAGUUGUAUUUUUCUUUCCAAUAUAAGAAGUCCUAAAUUUGAAUCUUCCCUCGCUUGAAGAUUAAAAAAAACAUAGACAUAAUUGAUAACAUAUAUUUACAACCAACACAUUCAAAUUUUCAAAAUCUAUAAUGACAUAAAGCAAUCCAAGUUCCUACCUCUAAUCACUGCACCCACAAUCUUGACCAAGCGUUUUAAUCCAAAAAUUCUUUGAGACCUUGAAUAAAAAGUUAGGUGACAUUUCAACCUUUACCACAAGUGUUCUAUUAUACUUUAGCUUCCAAUCAUAUGGUAUAAGAUAUCGUACAAGAUUUAUUAUAUUUACUAGCCUCUUGACACAUGCUCACGCAUGUACCAAUUGAUUUUAUUUUUUAUUUUUUAUUUUAUUUUUAAAAUAAAAAAAUAACAUGGAUAGUUACGUUCCACAAAAGUAGGACAUAUUAUAUGAUUUUGUUUUUAAUUUUAAUUUUUUUAAUAUAAAAAAUGUGCAUUUACCGUAUUAUCCUCAAUUAAUUAAUAAUUUCAAUUCUUAAUGUUUCAAUUAACUAAGGGUAUUUUUUGGUAUUUUGAAUGUUCCACCAUUCUCUGCAUUGUGCUUUAUAUACAUAGAUAAUGAGAUGGACUGAAUUUACCUUAUGUGAAUUAUGUGUAAAGAAGUAUUAUGUGUAGGCUUCUGUGGGUUGUAAUAUAAAUGUUGGGCUAAGGAAAAAAACGACACAUGUUCUAUAGCCCAAGUUAAUCUUUACUAAGGACUGUCCCUAGUUAUGAUACAACCCACAAUCAAAUUGGUCUACAAAUCUCAAUUCAAAAAAUCUCAUAUAUACAUAAAGAAACAGUGCAUGCAAACACAUGCAUCCAUGAACAAGAAAAUCUUAGGUGGCGUUUGGUAUCUUUUCGAGUAUGAAAUUCAAAAACUUUGAUUUUUCUUAAAAACAAAGAGUUCUAAAAUCAAAUUUUUAAGAUUCAAAAACUUGGUUGGUAUUCAAGGAGGGCACUCAAACUUUAAAAAUAAGGAGUUCUAAAAUCCAUACUUUAAGAUUAAAAACAGUUUGUAGUAAAAAUUCUUAAAAAACCGAUUUGUUUGGGUUUUAAGUAUUUGCGUGGUUUGGAGUAACUAGGUCUACCAAACAUAUUUUUUGAAUUUUGGACUCAAUUUAUUUUUUUUAAGUUUAAAAAUUUGAAUUCAAAUAGAAUACCAAACAUACACUUAACAUCCUUUUGAUUUCACAUUUGUCGUAUUUUAAAAAAAAAAAUAUUAAAAACAAAUACGAGAUGGGGAGGCAUUAGAUGAUUGAGAUUGAGCAAAAAUUAAAAAAAACAUAAAGAGAAUGAGAUAAUAUUUAGUGAGAAAUUACAAAAAAAAAAUGAAAUAAUAUUAUUCUUUUCAUUUUUUAUCCAUUCUCUUGUCACCUCUCACAAUACCAUAUCAAGUAUGGGCGCUCGCAAAAGAAAAACAAACAUGAGAGCUCUCAACAGGCCUGAUGUAAGUGUGCGUACAUACAUCGUCUAGUAUGGGCGCUCGUCCUCGGGCUGGUACAUGGGAUCGUAGCUGCAAACGAUGUAGUUCUUUCCAUCCUUGCACUUUGAAAUGCCACAUCCGACCUCGGUGGUUUUUCCCCAGAUCACAGCAAGGUAGUGACCACAUUCCUCUUUGAGACAUUUGUUGGACUUGGGGUCAUAGAACUCUUUCUCGGUGACCCAAUAUUUAGUCCCAGUUGCACCGGUCAUGCCAUCACCUGAGGUCAAGUUCUCACCCCAACGCCCCCUUGAGUGCUCCAUAGCGCAGUCAUCAACUCUUUUGUUGGCAUAUUCUUGGGCAUACUGGGCCAAGGUUGUGUUCCACUUAAGGGGUUUGUUGCCGACCUCUUUACGAGCCUUGUUGUGCUCCUCGAGGAAGCCAUCGAUCUCUGCUUGGGAAAUGUUUGCAGAGACAAGAGUGAAGACCAAUGCGACGCAGCAGAUGGCCAAAAGUAGCUUCGUGUUGAACGCCAUUUUUGUUUCUUGAUAUCAGAAGUUUAAGGUGUUUUCUUUGUAGCAGAGAAGGUUGGAUUGUUAGAUGUUGAUUGAAAUGGGAAAUGAGUUGUGCAUGUUUAUAUUGUUGGUAGGGUUAAAUAUAGGAUCCUAAAAUGUGAGGGUUCGUUAAGUUAUAUAAAUAAGCAUGGAGAACAAAUAAAACUUGUGUGCGAUUGCGUCACCAUCUCAUUAUAGUGGAUUUGGGAUCCAUACAAACAUUCUACUGUCAGUCGACAAUUAAUCUAUUGUUGGAAGUUUGAAAGCAAAUGUCCCACAUUGGAGAAAAACAAAAAAUUCCAUAUGCUUUAUAAGCAUGAAACCUUAACAUCAAUUAAAUAAGGAUUGGUGGGCUGAUGGGCUUGGUAGUGAAGACUAUCAUGGUUGGCUUGCUUGAUUAAUAUUAAUAUUUAAAUAAUCAAGACUCUGGAAAAUAAAAGAAAUAUACCUAGCCCGAAAAUAAAAUAAUUAUUUUUUAUUUUUCGGAUUUCUUUGGCAGAAGUUAAAUUCAAACCAGAAAGACUUAUCUUUUUGUUUGAAUUUGAACAGAUAUAACGGAUACUAACUGCUAUUUUGAAGGGGUGUAAUUCUAUUAUAAAACCACAAGUCCUAGACCAUAAGACGGAUCUCUUUUUCUUUAAAACUAUCUCAUAUUAUUUUAAAGUUACCAACUGUAUUGGAGAGAAGCACACCAACGUUCGCCAGAAUUCAAGGAUCCGGUGCUGGACCCUUGAAUUAUAGAUAGUUGAAUCCUGGGAGAUAGACGCCUGUUGAACUUCAAGCACUGAGAAGAGGCGAAAUUCUGUCUUUAGGACAUUGCAAAUACGCAAGCCUCUAUCUUCAAUAAAAGUCAGUAUUCUGUACUUAAUUUAUAUAUUUGCACAUUUAUACAGAUUUCGUAAUUUUGCUACUGUUUAUAUUUUAAGAAUUGUGCAAUAAUAUAGUGAUCCUAUAGCAUACAACAUUUACUGAUUAUUUUUAUAACAUCUAUACCAUUGAUUAAGUGAAGUUUAAUUUGAAUCCUAUAUUACAGUAUAUAAUUAGGUGAGGAUUUUUACCUGCAAUGAGUAAAACAUUCAGCCUUACACUGAGGAUCAAAGUUUUGACUUUGUUAACGAUAUAAAUGAACUUUGUUAUAUGGCCCCUCUGUCAACUUCUUGUAGCUUUGAAAAAUAAAAGUUAAAUGCAUUAUGCUUCUUUCCAAAAUAUAAUGAAAUGAAAGCGGAAGCAAAUUAGUUAGGCAAAAACUCACUUUUCAUCUAGUUUGAUGAAAUUUCCAUGUUUGUCUCUAUAGUUUCAAUUCUAGCAAUUUGACCUAUGUAGUUUGAUUUUCUUGCAAUUUAGAAAACCUCCAGCGCCCCACACAAACAAUAGCAACAGGCCCCCCUAGGCCCAUUUUGGCCCUCUAGCACGCAGCCUAAAGCCCGGGCAAGCCCUGGGACCCCCAAGCCCCAUGGCAAUUUUCAACUGAGCUCUUGCCCGAAGUGGCUAACGUCAGUAAAGCCGAAUUAAUUUUUUAUACCAUUGGCGUGUGGCUUCGCCGACGUUAUUGUGACGUUAGCACUUACAGCUCCCAACAAGAACACACCAUAUGGCGCUUCCUAGACGGUCCAAUCGAAUUUUGCCUAGAAAUCUGACGGACUUGGUUUUUUUGGCUAAGAAAAUUGCAAAACAAAUUGAAAAAAAAAAUCGAAAUUGAGUCUCCACAUUUUGAUGGAACUAACUUCUCCUUUAGUUUUGAGAAGGGAAACCCAAGUCAUGCAUGUGCAAUCAUCUAUAAACAUGAUAAACCAUAGAUCUCCUGCCGGAGUGGCAAUUUUAGCAGGUCCCCAAAUAUUGGAAUGAACAAGAGAAAACAAAACUAAACUCUUAUUUGAACUUAAUGGGAACAGGAUACGAUGGCUCUUAGCCAAUUCGCACGUAUCACAUUGGAAGCUAGAAACAUCAAGACUGAAAAAUAAUGACGAAAACAACUUUUUAAGAUAACCGAAUGAGGCAUGCUCAAGAUGUUUAUGCCAUAACCAAACUUUGUCUCUCUCCCCCUCAGAACGAGUUCCACUGGUUGUGAAAGAUUGACCAACCUUGGUCUCACUAUCCGAUGCCCAGUCCAAGUAGUAGAGUUUUCCCUGCUAGUACCACAACCAAUCGUCUUUCCCAUAAGGAUGUCCUGAAAAACACAAUGAUUCGGCCAAAAUAUUACAGUACACCCAAAGUAGUAGUAAGUUGUGCAACAGACAACAAAUUAUGAUCCAAGGAUGGAACAAUCAAUAUAGAAUCCAAAUGUAGGGAAGUAGAGAGAGAUAGAGAGCUCUCCUCAACCACAAGGGGAGGUACCAUUAGCAUUAGAUACCAUCGACGGAGUAGAUGAUUUACGACUAAUAAGUUGGUUAGGAUCAAUUGUCAUGUGAUUCGUAGCACCCGAGUCAAUAAUCCAUACGGAUUUUUGAGAUGACGUAUGAAAAGCAGAACCUUUGGUGGUGGCGAUAGAAGCAUGAGUCCGAGUAGUCAAGUCAGCAGGAGUGACCGCAGGUGACAGGACCCGACCCAAAUUUCACUUUGGAAUCCGAGCCGAACCCUGUUCAUGUCCGACACUUGGCGGGUGCCGGUCACAAUGACUAAAUUGCCUUCUAGUUAAAAUUCAAGUUUAUUACAAGUUCAAUUUCUACCGAAAAUUCGGCAAAGUCUCUCAUGAAAUUUGAUCAUUUCCCAGAAUUUCGACCUGUCAAAAGCAUAAAUAUACAUAUCCCAACUGCUAGCAUGCUUCCAAUUUAAGAUCCAAACAGUUCUGAUAAACUAAACGGCCUCAGGCCCAUACAGAAAUUCUUAGGGCAAAUCAUCAAAGCAACUAAUUCAGGAAUAUACAACAGAACAAUUUGAUUUCAAAAGAAAAGUCUAUAUAAGAGAGAGAGUGGAGCGGAGUGUGGAAUCUGCCCGGUGGUAACGCUCUGGUGCACAUCUAUUGCCUGGGGGGUAAAAUAUUCAAAAAUGUGAGUAGACAAAAAUAAAGGUCUAGAAAAUUGCAUAUGAACAUACUAACCCCACUGUAAAAAUAGUUAUGCAAAACUGAAUUUUCCUCUUCAUUAUAUUCGUACUAAAAUCAAUUCAUUCACAUAUUUAUAUACAUAUAUGCCAAUCAUACCCAAGGUUAAUAAAACUCUCUUAAAAGCAUUGAAAUCAAUUUAAAACUACCACCUAGGUGUACCCUUUUAAUUCUGUCCAUUCCUGAUAACCGUCAAUUCCCGAUAAUCCGUCAAUUCCUGAUAAUCCGUCAAUUCCCCUGACAGGUCUCGGUGACACAAAGUCAACCCGAGCCGCAAACUGGCAGGAUUCAGGGGACCGUAGUCAGCCUGAUCCGCAUUCCUAGCUCCCACGGUCCGGGCGUCCCCGAAACUAGUGAGGCAGAUGUCAAGCGCGCUGAUAGAACUGAAGGCAACCUGGAUGUCCUUGGACAUCGUCAUAUCCGAAGGCAACUUGUUUCUAUAACUGGGUACCUAAGGUUGCUUAAGAAAAUAUAAAAUUUCUGAAAGAUCUGAUGAAUAACUGAAUUUUUGUUAAAUCUAGAACUCUACUGCCAUUUAUCUGAUAUAUAUCUCAAUCUUUACUUUCCAUAUCUUUUUAGCACAUUCAACUAGGCAGCAUAUAAAUAAAGAUAUUUAACUUCAACAAAUCAUGCUAGGAAAACCAUAAUCAAUAAAACUUAUUCAAGAUCAAAUAAUGAAAUUCAUUUGCAUAAAAUUAUUUAUAAAACAAAAGUCCACCCACUCCUGGUCCGAGCUAGCUGGACCUCCUAAAGGUCCCUCCUGCAGGUCCGCUUGGCCCCGGGUGCCUUGGCUCGACGAUCAAUUCCAUCAUUAAAGCUCUUGAAUGAAGCUUUCUGUCUCUUGAAAAACUGAGUUAUGGCGGCCAGAAUUGAUCGGAAAAGACCACAAACAGCCAUUGUUCAAAACAACCCAGUUUUUGGGCUCGGGUUUGGCUCAAAAUUGAGCUCAAACUUGGUGGUUUUGAUUUGAAAUUGUAGGAGGCUUUAAAAAAGGAAGAAAGAGGAAGAUUUCGUUGCUUGUGGUGUUGAAAAUGGCGGCCGGAUGAGCAAGCUUGCCAGCCAACAAUGGCUGGCUAUUCUGUCACAGGGAGGAGAAGAAAAAUCGCAGGGGAGAAGAGAGAGAGAGGAGAAGAAUCAGAUUUAAAAAUCUGGCUUGCAAAAAUUACGAUUUUACCCCUCAAUGUAAUUUGAUCGUAUUUCCUUCGUUAUAACCCCGAUUCGAGCUCACAACAUGUCUACGGACUUACUUCAUCGUGCUCUACACAACGGUACAAGCGAAAUUUUCAAAUUCUUCUCCGGUAAAAAAAAAAUCAACUUUCUCCAAUAAACUAUUUUAUGGGCAAAAUUGUCUUUCCUUCUAAUAAAUUAAUAAUUAAAUAUUAUUUAAGAAACGGGUUGUUACAGCAGGCUUCUGUGAGUCUGCAAUAAGGGAGAGAAUCGUAGGGGAUCCUGACAUUGCAGUGGAAGUAAGAUGUGAUAUGAGAAUGUGAAGAAUUUGAUUGGAAGAAUGUGAUUUGAGUGAUUUGAUCUAUGAAAUUGAUGUAGGAACUGGAUUUCAGAGGUAUGUGUUUAGGGAUUUUGAUAAGAGGAUUUGAGGGAUUUGGAUUUGGGGAAUUUAAAUAUGAGGAAUUUGAUUUAGGGUUUUGGAUUUGAAUAUGAGAAAUUUGGAUCGAUUGCUCUGAUACCAUGCUAAAAUAUGAAUAUGGUUUGAAUACUUUAGGUUACGUUUUAUUCUUCUCUAUAAGAAGAUAUAGAUAGGAGUUUACAUGAGUGCUUUACAAGAAAAUAGAUACAAUAAUCAAUUAGAAUAGUAUCUCCUAAUUAUACAAUCAUUUGUCAACUAUAUAAAAUAAGAAAAUAAAUCCCUUAAUUAAUCAAGAAAAUAAAUCUCCUUAAUUAAUCAAGAAAAUAAAUCUCCUUGAUUAAUUAGGAGAUUCCCGUCAACAAAGACUAUGGUGCUACUUUUCUAGUAGAAAAUUUUGAUAUAUUUCCAUAAAAUUUGGUCCUAUUUCAAAAAAUAAAUAAAUAAUAAUAAUAAAAGGUAGAUUUCUUUCCAAAGGUAAGAAAUUUUUUUAAUUUUUUUUAAUUCAAGAUAAAAUAAAAAUAUAAAAUAUAAAAAAACUCCAUCCUUGAAAUUUGAAUCAGGAAGUCUUUAACAAGUAAAAAUUAUACAUGCAAUUGUCUAAAUUAAGGAUCUUAAUAUAAUUUACGAAAAGUGAGGAUGACACAUUAGCAUAUUACCACGGAAUGAGCAUACAAUGCGUUAUAAGUACUCAAUAUAAACUUUCUUAGCGCUGAAUUUUUUUUAAUUUUUCUCAAUAGAGUAAAAACGAACAUCAGAGCUAGAAAGGGCCAUCACAUCAAUAGUACAUUUGUUCACCACGUGAUGUUUUACAAAAGAGAGACCCCCACCAAAAUACUACUUUAAUAUCAACCAACAACAUCCAAUCUGUUCCAAGUUCCAGUCCACCAUCUCAACUUCAUCAGCUUGAUCAAAUGCCUUCCAAUUCUAGUAGGGACGCUCGCCCUCAUAAUUACCAGGAGGAUCGUAGCUGCAAAUGACAAAAACCCAAUUGUUGUCACACUUAGCCCUAGCACAACCAAGAUGAACCGAGUUCCUCUAAACCACCUGAGUAUAAUGCCCACAUUCAUCCCCAACACAUUUGUUGGAGCCGUAGUUAGCAGCUGGAUUUUUUUCUUUCUUAGAGCAUUUUUACCCAUUUAUCAUGGUAAAAGUCUAGGGGAGACAAGGGCAAUUACUCUUCACGUGAAUAGUAUCUGCCCUAGCAAUUUUUUUCUUGUUUUUCCACCCAUUGUCAUGGCAAUCGAAGGACAAUUAGUAUUCACUUGAGAUUACUUUAAUUUGUAUGUAUGAGAUUAAUAAUAUAAAAAAAUCUAGAUAUGUAUAAAAAAAUAAUAUAUUCUCAAUUUUUUGUAAUUUUUCAAAAAAAUUUUUAGGCAACAACUCGAGUUGUUCUUGCUUGCUGGGCUUGAUUGAGUCCACGCCUUGCCUGGGUUGUUUUGUACCACUUGAGGAGCAUUUCUUGGCCUUGGCAACCUUUUGACAGGGCUGGACUUCGCGCUGGAAGUCCUCUUACUCUUUUUUUAAAAAAAAUUCUCACUUUUUAAAAUUUUAUUUGCAAUAAUAGUGGGCUACGGUAUUUUAGGAAUAAUGCUGGGUGAAAAGAUAGGAUUAUGUUUUAUCAAAUUUACAUGGUGGAAGGGAAGAUAAGGUGGGUGGGGAAAUAGUGUGAGAAUGUGAAGGUAAAAAGUCUCACAUUGGAAAGUUAGAAAACUUUGCAAUGGCUUAUAAGGAGUUGGGUUACUCUCCCCAUUUCCAAUUAGUUUUGGGGUAGAACCUCAACUUUCUUCAUGGCAUCAGAGCAAGUUGACCACGUGUUAAAGCCCAAUGACCACAUGUGCUCCAUGUCACCCAAAAUGUGUUGUGCACGUGUUAGGCUUGAAAAUUGGCCACACGAGUGGGGGCGUGCGAGAAUGUGAAGGUAAAAAGUCCCACAUUAGAAAGGUAGAAAACCUUGCAAGGGCUUAUAAGGAUUUGGAUUACUUCUCCCAUUGCAAAUUGGUUUUAUGGUGGAAUCUCAACUUCCUUCAAAUAGGACAGGGAGGUGAAAAUAGCAGCACUCAAAAGAAAAUACGUAUGGUUAUUUAGCCUUAAUAAUGGAUAAUUAGUCCUUUAUUAAAAUUUUAGAUAAACCAAUUAGAAUUUUGUCUAGUUGUAUUUUCAAAAAGAGAGAGAUUGACUACCAAAAAAAAACAUAAAGAGAAUGAGAUAAUAUUUCGGUUAGAUUUUACAAAAAUGAAAUUAUAUUAUUCAUUUCCUUUUUUUUAAUUUUAAAUUCAUUCUCUUGUAACCUUUCACAAUAUCAUGUCAAGUGCUAGUCCCAUAAAGGAAUGUUGUGAGUGUGGGAAAGUAUUUGUAUACACCCAUUACAUUUUAUUUUUCUAAUUUCGCAAAAGCAAAACAACACAAGACUUCUCAACAGGCCUCAUGUAGGAGUGCGUGUGCGCACGCAAGCAUACAUACAUUGUCUAGUAGGGGCGCUCGUCCUCGGGCUGGUACAUGGGAUCGUAGCUGCAAACCACAUAGUUCUGUCCAUUGUUGCACUUUGAAAUGCCACAUCCGACCUCGGUGGUUUUGCCCCAUACCACAGCAAGGUAGUGACCACAUUCGUCUCUGACGCAUUUGUUGGACUUUUCGUCAUAGAACUCCUUCUCAGUGACCCAAUACUUGGUGGCCGCUGCGCCACUCAUGCCGUCACCGGAGGCCAAGUUCUCACCCCAACGCCCCAUCGAGUGCUCCAUGGCACAGUCGCCAACUCUUUUAUCCGCAUAUUCUUGGGCAUACUGGGCCAAGGUCGUAUUCCACUUGAGGGGUUUGUUGCCGACCUCUUUACGAGCCUUGUUGUGCUCCUCGACGAAGCCAUCGAUCUCUUCUUUAGAAAUGUUUGCAAAUACAAGAGUGAAGACCAAGGCGACGCAGCAAAUGGCCAAAAGAAGCUUCGUGUUGAACGCCAUUUUUGUUUCUUGAUAUGAGAAGUUUAAGGUCUUUUCUUUGUAGUAGAGAAGGUUGGAUUGUUAGAUGUUGAUUGAAAGGGGGCAUGGGAUUGUGCAUAUUUAUAGAGACACAGGCAAGUUUGUGUCCGCAAAGAGGGUCUUCGAAAAUAGGCCCUUAAAAAUGGGAGGGCUGAAUAUUAUUUUUUUGGAUUCUAUAGAUUGCCAUAGAGGAGGGGCCAAAUAAAGAAAAGAAAGAAGAGAUCCAUAGAAAUUUGUGGUGUCAAAUCUUUUGGGCUUGGAAUGCGUCCACACCAAGUUUUACUCACAAUAAGGAGGGAAGACAAUUUCUUGGGUGAGUUUCCUUUUUUUUUUUCCCUUAAAAAAGUAAGUUCUUCUUUUCUGUUUUUCUUUUCUUUUCUUCUUUUCAGCUGAACUAGUUUUUUUUUCUUUCUUUUUCUUUUUCGAAUGGAUAAGAUUGAAAGAAGAAUUAACAGGGUAGAACACUAUUGGGUGUCGUGAGUAAUAUGUCUUUUGUUUUUCCUUCAGUUGUGUCUGUUUUUCCUCAUGACUUAGUUGGCCUCCUUUCUCCGUUUUUGGUGUCACGCGUUUCUAAUUUAGCCAUAUUCUUUUUUAUAAGAAUUCACUCGUGUUUUUUUUUUCCCUAAUGAACAAUCUCAUGUUAUAAUGUACGUUUAUUUAUUAAUAUUAUAUCAUCGGAUGCAAAGGAUUUGUAACUCAAAUAAUUUAGAGGUCCUAAGUUCGAUUCGACCUUCCCUCAAUAUGACUUGUAUAAAUAAAAAAUAAAAAAAUAAAUAUCAUAAGAUAUAAAUUUGUUGUCCACUUACAUCAAUUUCUAAUGUUACAGUGACCAAAAAAAAAAAAAAACACUUUCUUCAAUUUUUUAUAAUCUUAAUGGUUUUUUGAGUUACUUGUGUCUCUACUAGUGAACUGUUACUUUUUUUUCUUUUUCUUUUUUAUAGAAAUAUCGGCUCCAAAAUCUCUACCCUCGUCAAAGCUAUUGCACAUAUUUAGUUUUCGUGACCAAUCUAUUUCGUCACCCAUUCUGAAAAUAACCAAACCAACUAACAUAUUCGACAAAUAAACUACAUCUUUCACGACCAUAACAUUCAUUGCUGAAAUGUUCUGGCGACCAAACAUUUAUUUCAUCGCCAAAUAAUUCCAUGUUCACGGGAAUUUUUGGUAUUUUGGCAGCAACUCAGACUCGAUGGCGACCAACUUGGAGCUGUAUAGUGACGACAAAUUUAGUCGCUAAAAUAUUUUAGCGACAAAAUUUUGUUUCGUCACAUGGUAUCUUUAGCCACGAGCUUUCAACGACGACCUUAGAGACCAAAAAUAUUUGUCGCUACUUAUAUUUGGCGACGAAAUUUGGUGUUAUAGUGACCAUCUUGUUUCGUCACUAAAAAGGAUUAUCCUUGUAGUGGUUCUUUCUUUCUGGAAGCUGAUAAAUAAACUCUGUGCCUUUUGAAAUCAAAUUAUCAUGGGAUAUUUCAUUAGUGUUAUUAGUUUUAGGGAAAUAUGUUACUUGAAUUACUUUCUCAGCAAGUGAUUGGUGGGGGCAAAAACUCAUAAAACGGUUCAAUUUCCUCCUCCUGAGUUUGACAGCGUGGAGACAACUAAUUAUUUUCCUCUGGCGACCAGUUGCUGUCUAUUGGCAAUCGGUCGCUGUCUAUUGGCGACCGGUCGUUUUGAAGCAUGUUUUUCGUGUUUGAAGAACUAAGGGGGGAGACCGGUCGCUUUCCACUGGCAACCAGUCGUUUUGAAGCUGAGUGACAUCCUAUGGAAAAAAAUCAAAAAUUUGAGGAGGGGUGGAUUCUCGAUUCUCCUCUUGUACUGCUGAAAAAUAUAAGACAUGUUCCCGAAACACAACAUCCAUAGAGGUAUAGACCUUCUGACUAGGAGGAUGAUAACACCAGUAUCAUUCCUUAUGAGGUGCAUAGCCAAUGAAACCACACUUUUCAGCUCGGUGAUCCAAUUUGCUUCAUUAAUGAUCAUGUAAGUGGACAAAUACAACAUAGACGAAAUUCGGGGUUCCAGGUUUGGGGUGGGAGGUAUUUGGAUAUGGUAGUGUUUGAAGUGGCGUUUGAAAAUUUAGGAUACUAGAGGGAAUUUGAUUGAUGAGGUAUGCCACAGAGACGAUGGCUUCACCCCAAAAAGGUCGUGGCAUAUUGGCACCAAAGAGAGAGGCACGAACUACUUCUAAUAAUUGUAUGUUCUUUCUUUCAACCACUUCAUUUUGUUGAGAAGUGUAGGGGCAUGAGCGUUGAUGUAUGAUGUCAUGAUCUUGUAAGAACUGGUUAAGAGCAUGGUUGAGAAAUUCUCCGUCAUUCUCAUAACGAAGAACAUGAAUUAUGGCAUGAAACUGAGUCCCCACCAUUUGAUGGAACCGUUGAAACUUGGAACUGACUUCCCCUUUAGUUUUGAGAAUGGAAACCUAAAUCAUGCUUGUGCAAUCAUCUACAAACGUAACAAACCAUCGAGCUCCUGCCGGGGUGGCAAUUUUGGCAGGUUCACAAACAUCAGAAUGAACAAGAGAAAAUGGAACUAAACUCUUAUUUGAACUUAAUGGGAACGGGACAUGAUGGCUCUUAGCCAAUUCACACAUAUCACACUGGAAGCUAGAAACAUCAAGACUGUAAAAUAAUGAUCAAAACAACUUCUUAUGAUAACCGAACAAGGCAUGCACAAGACGUUUAUGUCAUAACCAAACUUUACCUCUCUCCCCUUUAGAACAAGUUCCAAUGGUUGUGAAAGCUUGACCAACCUUGGUCUCACUAUACGAUGCCCAUUCUAAGUAGUAGAGUUUGCCCCGCUGAGUACCACAACCAAUCAUCUUUCCCAGGAAGAUGUCCUGAAAAACACAAUGAUUCAGCCAAAAUGUUACAGUACACCCCAAAGUAGUAGUAAGUUGUGCAACAGACAACAAGUUAUGGUCCAAAGAUGGAACAAUCAAUACAGAAUCCAGAUGUAGGAAAGUAGAGAGAGAUAGAAAACCCUCAUCAACCACAGAGGAUGGGGUACCAUUAGCAUUUGACACCACCGACAGAGUGGAUGAUUUUCGACUAAUAAGUUGGCCAGGAUCAAAUGUCAUGUGAUCCGUAGCACCCGAGUUUGCUGAUUUUUUAGAGGACGUAUGAAAAGUAGAACCUUUGGUGGUGCGAUAGAAGCACGAGUUCGAGUAGCCGAGUCAGCAGGAGUGACCGCAUGCUUCUGUGAGUCUGCAAUAAGGGAGAAAAUAGUAAGGGGUCCUAACAUCGCAGUGGAAGUAAUAUGUGAUAUGAGUAUGUGAGGAAUUUGAUUGGAGGAAUGUGAUUGGAGGAAUUUGAUGUGUGAAUUUGAUGUAGAAAUUAGAUUUGAGAGGUAUGUGUUUGGGGAUUUUGAUAAGAGGAUUUGAGGACUUUAGAUUUGAGGGAUUUGGAUUUCGAGAAUUUAAAUAUGAGGAAUUUGAUUUAGGGUUUUGGAUUUGAAUAUGAGAAAUUUGAUGUAAGGGUUUAGAGACAACUUAUGAUCGAUUGCUCUGAUACCAUGCUAAAAUAUAAAUAUGGUUUGAAUACUUUAGGUUAAGUUUUAUUCUUCUCCGUAAAUAGGUAUAUAUAGGAGUUUACAUGAGUGCUUUACAAGAAAUAGAUACAGUAAUCAAGUAGAAUACUAUCUCGUAAUUAUACAAUCAUUUGUCAAUUAUAUAAAAUAAAAAAGUAAAUCCCUUAUUUAAUCAAGGAAAUAAAUUUCUUUGAUUAAUUAACAGACUCGCGUCAACAAAGACUGUGGUGCUACUCUUCUAGUAUAAAAUUUUGAUAUAUUUCUAUAAAAUUUGGUCUCGUUUCAAACAAAAAAAAAAAGAAGGGUAGAUUUUGUUUCCAAAGGUAAGAAAUUUUUUUAAUUUUUUUAAAUUCAAGAUAAAAUUAAAAAUUAAAAAUUAAAAAAAAACUCCAUCCUUGAAAUUUGAAUCAGGAAGUCUUUAACAAGUAAAAAUUAUACAAGCGAUUGUUUAAAUUAAGGAUCUUAAUAUAAUUUACGAAAAGCGACGAUGACACAUUAGCAUAUUACCACGGAAUGAGCAUACAAUGCGUUAUAAGUACUCAAUAUAAACUUUCUUAGCGCUGAAUUUUUUUUAAUUUUUCUCAAUAGAGUAAAAACGAACAUCAGAGCUAGAAAGGGUCAUCACAUCAAUAGUACAUUUGUUCACCACGUGAUGUUUUUCUCAACUUCAUCAGCUUGAUCAAAUGCCUUCCAAUUCUAGUAGGGACGCUCGCCCUCAUAAUUACCAGGAGGAUCGUAGCUGCAAAUGACAAAAACCCAAUUGUUGUCACACUUAGCCCUAGCACAACCAAGAUGAACCGAGUUCCUCUAAACCACCUGAGUAUAAUGCCCACAUUCAUCCCCAACACAUUUGUUGGAACCGUAGUUAGCAGCUGGAUUUUUUUCUUUCUUAGAGCAUUUUUACCCAUUUAUCAUGGUAAAAGUCUAGGGGAGACAAGGGCAAUUACUCUUCACGUGAAUAGUAUCUGCCCUAGCAAUUUUUUUGUUGUUUUUCCACCCAUUGUCAUGGCAAUCGAAGGACAAUUAGUAUUCACUUGAGAUUACUUUAAUUUGUAUGUAUGAGAUUAAUAAUAUAAAAAAAUCUAGGUAUGUAUAAAAAAAUAAUAUAUUCUCAAUUUUUUGUAAUUUUUCAAAAAAAAUUUUAGGCAACAACUCGAGUUGUUCUUGCUUGCUGGGCUUGAUUGAGUCCACGCCUUGCCUGGGUUGUUUUGUACCACUUGAGGAGCAUUUCUUGGCCUGGGCAACCUUUUGACAGGGUUGGACUUAUUUUAUUUGAAAUAAUAGUGGGCUACGGUAUUUUAGGAAUAAUGCUGGGUGAAAAGAUAGGAUUGUGUUUUAUCAAAUUUACAUGGUGGGAGGGAAGAUAAGGUGGGUGGGGAAAUAGUGUGAGAAUGUGAAGGUAAAAAGUCUCACAUUGGAAAGUUAGAAAACUUUGCAAUGGCUUAUAAGGAGUUGGGUUACUCUCCCAAUUUCCAAUUAGUUUUGGGGUGGAACCUCAACUUUCUUCAUGGCAUCAGAGCAAGUUGACCACGUGUUAAAGCCCAAUGACCACAUGAGCUCCAUGUCACCCAAAAUGUUUUGUGCACGUGUUAGGCUUGAAAAUUGGCCACACGAGUGGGGGCGUGCGAGAAUGUGAAGGUAAAAAGUCCCACAUUAGAAAGUUAAAAAACCUUGCAAAGGCUUAUAAGGAUUUGGAUUACUUCUCCCAUUGCAAAUUGGUUUUAUGGUGGAAUCUCAACUUCCUUCAAAUAGGACAGGGAGGUGAAAAUAGUAGCACUCAAAAAAAAAAUAUGUACGGUUAUUUAGCCUUAAUAAUGGAUAAUUAGUUCUUUAUUAAAAUUUUGGAUAAACCAAUUAGAAUUUUGUCUAGUUGUAUUUUCAAAAAAAGAGAGAUUGACUAACAAAAAAAAAACACAUUAAGAGAAUGAGAUAAUAUUUCGGUUAGAUUUUACGAAAAUGAAAUUAUAUUAUUCUUUUCUUUUUUUUGUAUUUAUUAUUCAUUCUCUUGUAACCUUUCACAAUAUCAUGUCAAGUGCUAGCUAGUCACAUAAAGGAAUGUUGUGAGUGUGGGAAAGUAUUUGUAUACACCCAUUACAUUUUAUUUUUCUAAUUUCACAAAAGAAAAAAAACACAAGACUUCUCAACAAGCCUCAUGUAGGUGUGCGUGUGCGCACGCAAGCAUACAUACAUUGUCUAGUAGGGGCGCUCGUCCUCGGGCUGGUACAUGGGAUCGUAGCUGCAAACCACAUAGUUCUGUCCAUUGUUGCACUUUGAAAUGCCACAUCCAACCUCGGUGGUUUUGCCCCAUACCACAGCAAGGUAGUGACCACAUUCGUCUUUGACGCAUUUGUUGGACUUUUCGUCAUAGAACUCCUUCUCGGUGACCCAAUACUUGGUGGCAGCUGCGCCGCUCAUGCCGUCACCAGAGGCCAAGUUCUCACCCCAACGCCCCAUCGAGUGCUCCAUGGCGCAGUCGCCAACUCUUUUAUCCGCAUAUUCUUGGGCAUACUGGGCCAAGGUCGUGUUCCAAUUGAGGGGUUUGUUGCCGACCUCUUUACGAGCCUUGUUGUGCUCCUCGACGAAGCCAUCGAUCUCUUCUUUAGAAAUGUUUGCAAAGACAAGAGUGAAGACCAAUGCGACGCAGCAAAUGGCCAAAAGAAGCUUCGUGUUGAACGCCAUUUUUGUUUUUUGAUAUGAGAAGUUUAAGGUCUUUUCUUUGUAGUAGAGAAGGUUGGAUUGUUAGAUGUUGAUUGAAAGGGGGCAUGGGAUUGUGCAUAUUUAUAGAGACACAGGCAAGUUUGUGUCCGCAAAGAGGGUCUUCGAAAAUAGGCCCUUAAAAAUGGGAGGGCUGAAUAUUAGUUUUUUGGAUUCUAUAGAUUGCUGUAGAGGCGGGGCCAAAUAAAGAAAAGAAAGAAGAGAUCCAUAGAAAUUUGUGGUGUCACAUCUUUUGUGCUUGGAAUGCGUCCACACCAAGUUUUACUCACAAUAAGGAGGGAAGACAAUUUCUUUGGUGAGUUUCCUUUUUUUUUUCCCCUUAAAAAAGUAAGUUCUUCUUUUCUGUUCUUCUUUUCUGUUCUUCUUUUCUUUUCUUCUUUCAGGUGAACUAUUUUUUUUUUUUUUUCUUGUUCUUUUUCUAAAGGAUAAGAUGGAAACAAGAAGUAACGAGGUAGAACAUUAUUGGGUGUCUUGAGUAAUAUGUCUUUUGUUUUUCCUUCAGUUGUGUCUGUUUUUCCUCAUGACUUAGUUGGCCUCCUUUCUCCUAUGCGUCUAUAUGCUAUUGUUUAAACCUGUCUUCUGGUCCUAAUCCCCUUUGUUCACUAAAAUAACUGAUAAGGAAAAUCACCAUACUCUAGUUUUUGGUGUCACACGUUUCAAAUUUAGCCAUAUUCUUUUUUAUAAGAAUUCACUCUUUUUUUUCUUUUCUUUUUUUCUAAUGAACAAUCUCAUGUUAUAAUGUGCGUUUAUUUAUUAAUAUUAUAUCAUCGGAUGCAAUGGAUUUUUAACUCAAAUAGUUAAGAGGUCCUAAGUUCGAUUCCACCCUCCCUCAAUAUGACUUGUAUAAAAAAUAAAAAUAAAAAUUAUAUCAUCAGAUAUAAAUUUGUUGUCCACUUACAUCAAUUUCUAAUGUUACAGUGACCAAAAAAAAAAAACUUUCUUCAAUUUUUUAUUAUCUUAAUGGUUUUUUGAGUUACUUGUGUCUCUACUAGUGAACUGUUACUUUUUUUUCUUUUUCUUUUUUAUAGAAAUAUUGGCUCCAAAAUCUCUGCCCUCGUCAAAGCUAUUGCACAUCUUCAGUUUUGGCGACCAAUCUAUUUCGUCGCCCAUUCUGAAAAUAACCAAACCAGCUAACAUAUGCGACAAAUAAACUACAUCUUUCACGACCAUAACAUUCAUCGCUGAAAUGUUCAGGCGACCAAACAUUUAUUUCGUCGCCAAAUAAUUUCAUGUUUGCGGGAAUUUUUGGUAUUUUGGCAGCAACUCACUCUCAAUGGCAACCAACUUGGAGCUGUGUAGUGAAGACAAAUUUAGUCGCUAAAAUAUUUUCAGCGACAAAAUUUUGUUUCGUCGCAUGGUAUCUUUAGCCCCGAGCUUUCAACGAUGACCUUAGAGACCAAAAAUAUUCGUCGCUACUUAUAUUUGGCGAUUAAAUUUGGUGUUAUAGUGACCAUCUUGUUUCGUCACUAAAAGGGAUUAUCCUUGUAGUGCUUCUUUCUUUCUAGAAGCUGAUAAAUAGACUCUGUGCCUUCUAAAAUCAAAUUAUCAUGGGAUAUUUCAUUAGUGUUAUGAAUUUUAGGAAAAGAUGUUACUUGAAUGACUUUCUCAGCAGGUGAUUGGUGGGGGCAAAAACUCAUAAAACGGUUCAAUUUCCUCCUCCUGAGUUUGACAGCGUGGAGAUAACUAAUUAUUUUCCUCUGGCGACCAGUCGCUGUCUAUUGGCAAUCGGUCGCUGUCUAUUGGCGACCGGUCAUUUUGAAGCAUGUUUUCCGUGUUUGAAGAACUAAGGGGGGGACCGGUCGCUUUCCACUGGCGACUAGUCGUUUUGAAGCUGAGUGACAUCCUGUGGAAAAAAAUCAAAAAUUUGAGGAGGGGUGGAUUCUCGAUUCUCCUCUUGUGCCGCUGAAAAAUAUAAGACAUGUUCCCGAAACACAACAUCCAUAGAGGUAUAGACCUUCUAACUAGGAGGAUGAUAACACCUGUAUCUUUUCUUAUGAGUGCAUAGCCAAUGAAACCACACUUUUCAGCUCGGUGAUCCAAUUUGCUUCGUUGGUGAUCAUGUAAGUGGACAAAUACAACAUAGCCGAAAUUCGGGGUUCCAGGUUUGGGGUGGGAGGUAUUUGGAUAUGGUAGUGUUUGAAGUGGCGUUUGAAAAUUUAGGAUACUAAAGGGAAUUCGAUUGAUAAGGUAUGCUACAGAGACGAUGGCUUCGCCCCAAAAAGAUCGUGGCAUAUUGGCACCGAAGAAAGAGGCACGAACUACUUCUAAUAAUUGUAUGUUCUUUCUUUCAACCACUUCAUUCUGUUGAGGAGUGUAAGGGCAUGAGCGUUGAUGUAUGAUGCCAUGAUCUUGUAAGAACUGGUUAAGAGCAUGGUUGAGAAAUUCUCCGCCAUUUUCAUAAAGAACAUGAAUUAUGGCAUGAAACUGAGUCUCCACCAUUUGAUGGAACCGUUGAAACUUAGAACUGACUUCCCUUUUAGUUUUGAGAAUGGAAACCUAAGUCAUGCUUGUGCAAUCAUCUACAAACGUAACAAACCAUCGAGCUCCUGCCGAGGUGGCAAUUUUAGCAGGUCCAUAAACAUCAGAAUGAACAAGAGAAAAUGGAAUUAAACUCUUGUUUGAACUUAAUAGGAACGGGAACACGAUGGCUCUUAGCCAAUUCACAAGUAUCACACUGGAAGCUAGAAACAUCAAGACUGUAAAAUAAUGAUGGAAACAACUUCUUAUGAUAACCGAACAAGACAUGCACAAGAUGUUUAUGCCAUAACCAAACUUUACCUACCUCCCCUUCAGAACAAGUUCCACGUGUUGUGAAAGCUUGACCAACCUUGGUCUUAACAUACGGUGCCAGUCUAAGUUGUAGAGUUUGCCCCGCCGAGUACCACAACUAAUCGUCUUUCCCAUGAGGACGUCCUGAAAAACACAAUGAUUCGCCAACAUGUUACAAUACACCACAAAGUAGUAGGAAGUUGUGCAACAGACAACAAGUUAUGGUCCAAAGAUGGAACAAUCAAUACAGAAUUCAGAUAUAGGGAAGUAGAGAGAGAUAGAGAGCCCUCCUCAACCACAGGGGAGGGGGUACCAUUAGCAUCAUCCACCAAGUUGGCCAGGAUCAAAUGUCAUGUGAUUCGUACCCGAGUUUGCGGAUUUUUUAGAGGACGUAUGAAAACUAGAACCUUUGGUGGUGCGAUAGAAGCACGAGUCCUAGUAGCCGAGUCAGUAGGAGUGACCGCAUGCUUCUGUGAGUCUGCAAUAAGGGAGAAAAUAGUAGGGCGUCCUAACAUCACAGUGGAAGUAAUAUGUGAUAUGAGUAUGUGAGGAAUUUGAUUGGAGGAAUUUGAUGUGUGAUUUUGAUGUAGAAAUUGGAUUUGAGAGGUAUGUGUUUAGGGAUUUUGAUAAGAGGAUUUGAGGACUUUGGAUUUGAGGGAUUUGGAUUUCGAGAAUUUAAAUAUGAGGAAUUUGAUUUAGGGUUUUGGAUUUAAAUAUGAGAAAUUUGAUGUAAGGGUUUAGAGACAACUUAUGAUCGAUUGCUCUGAUACCAUGCUAAAAUAUAAAUAUGGUUUGAAUACUUUACGUUAAGUUUUAUUCUUCUCCGUAAAGAGGUAUAUAUAAGAGUUUACAUGAGUGCUUUACAAGAAAUAGAUACAAUAAUCAAGUAGAAUACUAUCUCGUAAUUAUACAAUCAUUUGUCAAUUAUAUAAAAUAAAAAAGUAAAUCCCUUAUUUAAUCAAGGAAAUAAAUCUCCUUGAUUAAUUAACAGAUUCGUGUCAACAAAGACUGUGGUGCUACCCUUCUAGUAGAAAUUUUUUAUAUAUUUCUAUAAAAUUUGGUCUCGUUUCAAACAAAAAAAAUAAAAGGGUAGAUUUCUUUCCAAAGGUAAGAACUUUUUUUAAUUUUUUUUAAUCCAAGAUGUAAAAAAAAAAAACUCCGUUCAUGAAAUUUGAAUCAGGAAGUCUUUAACAAGUAAAAAUUAUACAAGCGAUUGUCUAAAUUAAUCUACUCUACGAAAAAGAAACAUCAACAAGGAAAGUGACAAUGACACAUUAGCAUAAUACCACGGAAUGAGCAUACAAUGAGUUAUAAGUACUAAACUUUCUUAGCGCUGAAUUUUUUUUAAUUUUUCUCAAUAGAGAGGUGGAGUUAGGAUUUUAUGUGUGGAGGGGAGGGGUCAAUAUAUUAGGAUUUAAAGUUGAUUUCUUUCCCAGUGUUAAGCUUGUAAAUAAAUAAAUAACAGAUUAUCUUUAAUUUCCUAUUUUCUUAAAUAUACUUGUGAAAGAAAGAUUUGAUUUGCUGUUUCUUUUAAUUUUUAUUAAUUAUGUUGGUAGAAUCUAGGAGUAAGUUUGCCAUAUUGCUAAGAAAAGAGUCUUUUAGUUGGAGGGGGAAAUGUAAAUCCCUCUUUCUCUUUAUUGUGGGGGGCCACAAGCAUUAAUUUAAUAUAUAUAUUAUCCUAAGUUGUAUAAUACAAAGACAAUAUAUAUACUAUUUUAGAAUUUUGGGAGGGCAAGGCCCUUGCAGGCCUAAGCACACCUCCACCCCUGGAGAACAAUACAUUCUUUGAGAGUAAAAACGAACAUAAGAGCUAGAAAGGGUCAUCACAUCAAUAGUACAUUUGUUCACCACAUGAUGUUUUACAAAAGAGAGACCCCCACCUUCACGUGAACUCCACCCAAACAUUAUUUAGUCCAAAAUACUACUUUAAUAUCAACCAACAACAUCCAAUCUGUUCCAAGUUCCAGUCCACCAUCUCAACUUCAUCAGCUUGAUCAAAUGCCUUCCAAUUCUAGUAGGGACGCUCGUCCUCAUAAUUACCAGGAGGGUCGUAGCUGCAAAUGACAAAAACCCAAUUGUUGUCACACUUAGCCCUAGCACAACCAAGAUGAACCGAGUUCCUCCAAACCACCCGAGUAUAAUGCCCACAUUCAUCCCCAACACAUUUGUUGGAGCCGUAGUUAGCAGCUGGAUUUUUUUCCAUGUCACCCAAAAUGUGUUGUCCACGUGUUAGGCUUGAAAAUUCGUCACACGAGUGGGGGUAGAGGUGGGCACUGUUCGGUUUGGACCGAUUUUUGCCUCAAAUUAGAACUGAUCCGGUACUAUUUAUCCGGUUUGGUUCAGUUCUGUUUUAAUUAAAAAAAUUCAAAAACUAUCUGGUUCGGUUUGAACCGGUUUCGGUCCGAUUUCGAUUUCGGUUCAGUUUGAACCGGAUUAACAAAAUUAUUUUUUUAAAUUGUUUUUUAAUGCAAUUCUCAACUGAAAUAUUUUUUUUUUUACUUGAAAAUUAACAAAUUAUUCAAUUUCAUAUAAAAAAUAAAUAUUAAAGUUAGAAAAGAUAGAUAUUUUGAUAUUAAACUUGGAUAAAUAUUAGGUUUUUCUUAGUGAAAUUAAAAAUAUAGCAUUAAAUAUAAAUAUAUAUUGAAAUUAUAUAUUUUUUUAAUUUGACCGGUUCGGUUCGAUUUUUGAAGACAUGGAACCGGAUCCAAAACCGGUCCAAAUCGGUUCAGUUCGAUUUUUGACCAGUUGUUGACUUUUUGGUCAACUCGAUUUUUUCGGGUUUGGUUCAGUGCGGUUCGGCUCGGAUUUUUGGUUCGCCGAUUUAAGUGCCCACCCCUAAGUGGGGGCGUGCGAGAAUGUAAAAGUAAAAAGUCCCACAUUAGAAAAUUAGAAAACCUUGCAAGGGUUUAUAAGGAUUUAGAUUAAUUCCCCCGUUGCAAAUUGGUUUUAUGGUGAAAUCUCAACUUCCUUCAAAUAGGACAAGGAAGUGGAAAUAGUAGCACUCAAAAAAAAAAAAUGUACGGUUAUUUAGCCUUAAUAAUGGAUAAUUAGUCCUUUAUUAAUUUUUUGGAUAAACCAAUUAGAAUUUUGUCUAGUUGUAUUUUCAAAAAAAGAGAGAUUGACUAACAAAAAAAAAACACAUUAAGAGAAUGAGAUAAUAUUUCGGUUAGAUUUUACGAAAAUGAAAUUAUAUUAUUCUUUUCUUUUUUUUGUAUUUAUUAUUCAUUCUCUUGUAACCUUUCACAAUAUCAUGUCAAGUGCUAGCUAGUCACAUAAAGGAAUGUUGUGAGUGUGGGAAAGUAUUUGUAUACACCCAUUACAUUUUAUUUUUCUAAUUUCACAAAAGAAAAAAAACACAAGACUUCUCAACAAGCCUCAUGUAGGUGUGCGUGUGCGCACGCAAGCAUACAUACAUUGUCUAGUAGGGGCGCUCGUCCUCGGGCUGGUACAUGGGAUCGUAGCUGCAAACCACAUAGUUCUGUCCAUUGUUGCACUUUGAAAUGCCACAUCCAACCUCGGUGGUUUUGCCCCAUACCACAGCAAGGUAGUGACCACAUUCGUCUUUGACGCAUUUGUUGGACUUUUCGUCAUAGAACUCCUUCUCGGUGACCCAAUACUUGGUGGCAGCUGCGCCGCUCAUGCCGUCACCAGAGGCCAAGUUCUCACCCCAACGCCCCAUCGAGUGCUCCAUGGCGCAGUCGCCAACUCUUUUAUCCGCAUAUUCUUGGGCAUACUGGGCCAAGGUCGUGUUCCAAUUGAGGGGUUUGUUGCCGACCUCUUUACGAGCCUUGUUGUGCUCCUCGACGAAGCCAUCGAUCUCUUCUUUAGAAAUGUUUGCAAAGACAAGAGUGAAGACCAAUGCGACGCAGCAAAUGGCCAAAAGAAGCUUCGUGUUGAACGCCAUUUUUGUUUUUUGAUAUGAGAAGUUUAAGGUCUUUUCUUUGUAGUAGAGAAGGUUGGAUUGUUAGAUGUUGAUUGAAAGGGGGCAUGGGAUUGUGCAUAUUUAUAGAGACACAGGCAAGUUUGUGUCCGCAAAGAGGGUCUUCGAAAAUAGGCCCUUAAAAAUGGGAGGGCUGAAUAUUAGUUUUUUGGAUUCUAUAGAUUGCUGUAGAGGCGGGGCCAAAUAAAGAAAAGAAAGAAGAGAUCCAUAGAAAUUUGUGGUGUCACAUCUUUUGUGCUUGGAAUGCGUCCACACCAAGUUUUACUCACAAUAAGGAGGGAAGACAAUUUCUUUGGUGAGUUUCCUUUUUUUUUUCCCCUUAAAAAAGUAAGUUCUUCUUUUCUGUUCUUCUUUUCUUUUCUUCUUUCAGGUGAACUAUUUUUUUUUUUUUUUCUUGUUCUUUUUCUAAAGGAUAAGAUGGAAACAAGAAGUAACGAGGUAGAACAUUAUUGGGUGUCUUGAGUAAUAUGUCUUUUGUUUUUCCUUCAGUUGUGUCUGUUUUUCCUCAUGACUUAGUUGGCCUCCUUUCUCCUAUGCGUCUAUAUGCUAUUGUUUAAACCUGUCUUCUGGUCCUAAUCCCCUUUGUUCACUAAAAUAACUGAUAAGGAAAAUCACCAUACUCUAGUUUUUGGUGUCACCCACUAUACGUUUCUAAUUUAGCCAUAUUCUUUUUUAUAAGAAUUCACUCAUGUUUUUUUUUUUUCUUAUGAACAAACUCAUGUUAUAAUGUGCGUUUAUUUAUUAAUAUUAUAUCAUCGGAUGCAAAGGACUUGUAACUCAAAUAGCUAAAAGCAUUUACUCUGCAUUUGAAGUCCUAAGUUUGAUUCCAUCCUCCCUCAAUAUGGCUUGUAUACAAAACUUUAUAUCAUAAGAUAUAAAUUUGUCGUUCACUUAAUGUUACAGUGACCAAAAAAAAAAAACCUUCUUCAAUUUUUUAUAAUCUUAAUGGUUUUUUGAUUUACAUGUGUCUCUACUAGUGAACUGUUACUUUUUUUUUUUCCUUUUUUUUAUAGAAAUAUGGGCUCCAAAAUCUCCACCCUCAUCAGAUCUAUUGCACACCUAUCAAAUUUGUAGCUAGCUAAUGAGUCAAAAAAUCAUAAGAACAACCAUACAUAAUUCAAAUCAAAGCACCAUAUAUAUUUCUCUUUCAUUUUUAUCAACCAAAACACAUUAAAUUAAUUAGGCUAAAAGUUACUUUUGGUCCCUGUUGUUUGACACUUCAACCACUUUUGACCAUAUAGUUUCAAUUCCGUCAAUUUUGACCCUGUAGUUUUGUGUUUGUAGCAAUUCAAGGACAAGUUAGUAUUCUUGUCAAUUUCUUUGACGGUGCAAGGGUCAAUUUCGUCAACCCAAAAUCCUUGAGAAUAAAAGCUCAUCUAAAACUCCCCCUAAUUUCAUAUUAGGGCUUGAAAUUGAUCAUUUGGGUUUAGGGUUCUUAAAAAAUUGGAAUUAGUGGUUGAAUUUCAGCCCUAAUAUGAAAUGGGGAGAAUUUCAGACAAGCUUUUACUCUCAAGAGUUUUGGGUUAACGAAAUUGCCCUUUGCAUCAUUAAAGAAAUUGGCAAGAAUACUAACAUGUCCUUGAAUUGCUACAAAUACGAAACUACAAUGGCAAAAUUGACAGACUUGAAACUACAGGUCAAAAGUGGUUGAAGUGCCAAACUAUAGGUAUCAAAAGUGACUUUUGUCCAAUUAAUUAUUUUGAGAUGUAACUUUCUUCAAUAUGACACUCAACAAUUAUACCUAUACAAUCUAGUAAGGACGCUCUCCUAUAUAAUUUCCAGGAGGAUAAUAACUACAAAUCACAAACAUCCAGCCAUUCUUGCACAUAGCCCUAGCACAACCCACAUGAGUCGAAUUGCGCCAAACCACCUGAGUGUAGUGACCACAGACAUCACCAACGCAUGUGUUGGAGGCAUAGUCGUAGUUGGGCUUCUCAGUCACCCAAAACUUCACAGCCUGCCCGCCGGUCAUUUCUCCAUAGCCUUCAGCCAAGUUCUCACCAUAUGGGCCCUGUGAGUGCACCAUUUCACACGUCUCAAUCUUCGAAUCCGCAUACUUCUGGGCGUAGGCUGCAACAGUGUCGUUCCAUUUGAUUGGACCAACACCAACCUCAGCUCGAGCUCUGUUGUGUUCAUCUAUGAAGUCCUGGUGGGGUUCUUUGUUGGGUCUGGCUUGAGAGGCAUGGGUGUUUAAGAUUAGGGCUAUGGAGAAUAUGCCUAAUAAAAGCUUAUUGAUAGCUCCCAUUUGUAUCUCUGUGCAAGGCUUGGAUCGAUGUAUUAGAGGUUGAUCUUAGGGCAAAUUUAUAGAGAGUUAAGGCAAUUUGAACUGUAAAGAAGAAGAUCUCAGAAUUAAUUGCUGUCUGUGACAUUCCUUGGAUUUGGUUAGAAAAUAAAGAAACAAAAACAAUUACAUGCCCAUUUUUGGGGAUUCUUGGGUUUGAUUUGUAUCCGUUUGCCAAAGGUGUCACACAUUUGGAGAUGGCAGUAUAAAUGCAUAUUAAUGGUUGUGUUGUUAAAAAUUUCACGGAAGGAUAAGUUUCUAAUUGAAGAUGUUACUAAAAGGUGAGUAAAGACUAUG